UUAGAAACAUAUUUAUUCACGUUAAAAUCAAUACAAAUUAAUAUGGUAUAUUUUAUACCCUUCACAGAGCAAAUAAAGAUUUGACAACGUCAAGAAGGCUUAUGCUUCUAUUGUGGAGAAUUAAGUACACUGCUCAAUAUUAUUCAAAGAAACAAUACUAUCGUAAUACGUGAAGUCUUGCAUGAGAAUGCUCCGGAUACCUGGCUGUAGAAAGAAGAAUGAAAAUUGCAACAACAAAAUCCUGAUUCUAAUAGAAUACUAAUUAAACUCUAAUUAGAUCAUAAUAAUGAUAAGCAAGCUUUAAUCAAAUUCAAAAAAAUCUCAAGAAAUUUCAUACAAACAAUAAGAAUUCUUAAAGAAAUAUUAAAAGGAUCACAAAUAUCACUCAAAUACAUCUCAAUUCAAUCUUAAUUUAAUUCUAAUUAAAAUCCUAUUAAACUUCAUUCAAACUUUAGGCCAAACCUAAUUAAAUCUUAAAUCCUAAUAAAAUCCUAAAUCCUAAAUCAAAUCCUAAACAAACCUUAAACCAAACCCCAACCAAAUCCUAAACCAAAUCCUAACCAAAUCCUAAUCAAAUCCUAAACCCUAAAUCAAACCCUAACCAAAUCCUAAUCUAAAUCCUAAACCCUAAACCAAAUCCUAAUCCAAAUCCUAAAUAAAACUCUAACCAAACCCUAAACCAAAUCCUAAAUCAAAUCCUAAACAAACCUUAAAUUAAAUCCCAACGAAAUCCUAAACCAAAUCCUAAAUCAAAUCCUAAAUCAAAUCCUAAUCAAACCUUAAUCAAACCCUAAACCAAAUCCUAAAUCCUAAAUCAAAUUCUAACCAAAUCCUAAUCUAAAUUCUAAAUCCUAAACCAAACCCUAAUCCAAAUCCUAAAUAAAAUCCUAACCAAACUCUAAACCAAAUCCUAAAUCAAAUCCUAAGUGGACCUUAAACCAAACCCCAACUAAAUCCCAAACCAAAUCCUAAUAAAAACCUAAAUCAAAUCCUAAAUCCUAAAUCAAACCCUAAUCAAAUUCUAAUUCAAAUCCUAAACCCUAAACCAAAUCCUAAUAGAAAUCUUAAACCCUAAAUCAAAUUCUAACCAAAUCUUAAAUCCUAAAUUAAAUCCUAACCAAAUCCUAAAUCCUAAAUCAAACCGUAAUUCAAAUCCUAAAUCUUAAAUCAAAUCCUAAUCCUGCUCUAAAUCCUAAAUCAAAUCCUAAUCUAAAUCCUAAAUCGUAAAUUAAACUCUAAUCAAACCCUAAACCAAAUCCUAGUAAUUCAUAUAACAGAUUUAAAUCUCAAUAACUAAUGAAUAAAUUGUUGAUCUUAAUUCAAAAUUUGCACACUUCUUAAAAAUUAACUUAAAAACAAAAAAAAAAUAAUUAAAAAAGGAUCGGAGUUACCAAAUUGAUGUUAACUUCAAAAAUGUGCUUGAGUAUUGAUCGACCUCCUUCUCCAAUCUUGAUGCCAAUCUUCUAGAGUCGAUAUCUCUUCUUUGCACCAUUCGACUGAUUUCAAAAUUCUCAUGCACAUAGGAAAAUAAUUCUAAUAUCCUCUCACAUAAGUUUUACUCCAAUCCAACUAGUAGAUUAUAAGAAAACUUAAAAAUCCUCACUAGACCUAAAAUUCUACUUUUUGAGACCUUGACCCACUUAAACCUCAAUAUCCUUCAAUUCAAUUGUUAGAUCGAGCUCAAAUUUACAUCACAUAUUGAAUACAACUAUAACCAUAAACUGACAAAAUUUCACUUAUAGAUCUACUACAAAACUCUCAAAAUCACCCAAAACGUAAAUCCUAUUUUAUUUCAUAAAAUCCAAGUCAUCCGAAAUAAACCUUGACUUUGCAAAGCUCUUAAAAAGUCAUAACAACUCCAAAUCAUCCAAAAUUAUUGUUUAUAGAAACCCUAUCAAAUCUGCUAUCAAAUCCCACUCUUCGAUCUGCCAAAGAAUUCCCGAGUCAUUGUCGAGACUCGGUUUUGUGCCUCACGGUUUGAUUUCGACAUUGGUUCAUAACCGGCCUUCUCCGGGUAUCAACAUCUAGUUUUUUUUUUAGUAAUUUUUAUUGGAAUUUACUCUAAAAUUCUUCUUAAAGAUGUCUAUAUUAUUUAUUUUUCUAAUCUACCUUGUUUUGCCUUAUUUAUGGCCCUACAAAGUAAGUAAAAGUCACCUUUCUAAAAAGGCACCAUUUCUAUUAAAAGUUUUAUUACUUUCCUAUCUUUUAUCCAUAUUUUUCUACUUUUUCUUUUAACUUGGCUCUUCUAUAAUAAGAUCCAUGUUAUCAUCUUUCAAUAUUUAGUCAUGUUACAAUACGACAACGCAAUCACAAAAUAAGAAGUAUGGUUGCAAAAAAAGACAAUUUACUGGAAAAUGAGUUUUUUCAACUACAAUAAAGACCGUGUAGCUAAAAUCUCAUGUAAUUCCUAGUAAAGAUUUUAUUCUCUCUUCAAAUCCCUCAUUUUUAUUUACAAUAGAAAUUUAUUUAGCACUAAAAAAUCACAAAGUCUUAACUUUAUUAGAUUCGAGUGCCUCAAUCUUUUUUAUAGAUGAAUAUUUUAUCAAAAAAUAAGAAAUAUUAUUAGUCAAGAAAAAUAAAUCUAUAUAUAUAUAUAGAAGUCAUAGAUGAAUUUUUGCUAUCUUUUAAAGAUUAUACAUAUGAGAUUAUUUUUUUAGAUGUAAUAAUUAAAGAUCAUAAUAGCAUAGUAAUAUUUAACAUAAUAAGAUCUCCAACUAAUUUGAUUAUUUUAGAAUUAUCUUGGUUAGAAAAGUAUUAGUGUUAGAUAAAUUGGAUUUCUUAUAACCUUAAUUUUUUUGAUAGUUUAAUCCAAAAUUCCGUUAGACAAGUAGAAAUAUAUAAUUCUAAUACAUCCAAAUCCUUAUUUGUAGGUACGAGAGCUUUUAUGCAUGCCAUAAAAAAAGGAUUAUCAUUUGCUUUAUAUGCCAUGCCUAUUUUUGAUGGCAAGAAGACAUCAAGUGAUAUUCCUAGUCAAUAUCAAGAUUUCCAAGAUGUUUUUGAAAAGAAAAAUACAAAUAUUCUUUAAGAACAUUGAUCUUGUGAUUAUUCCAUCAAUCUUCAUGAAGGAGAUCAAUCACUAUUUGGACCAAUCUAUAGCCUAAUACAAAAUAUGUUGGUUACACUCAAUGAGGGUAUUGAUGAGAAUUUGGCUAAGAAUUUCAUACGUUAUUCUAAAUCUCCAAUUGAAGCUCUUAUCUUUUUUGUAAAGAAAAAAGAAGAAUCUUUGUGGACGUAUUUGAACUAUGAAGGAUUCAACAAGGUCACCAUGAAGAAUAGGUAUUGUGUAUCUUUGAUUUCAAGACUCUUUUAUCAACUCAAUCAAGCAAAGAUCUAUACAAAAAUAGAUCUUUGACGAGCAUAUAAUUUGGUACACAUUAAAUUAAGAGAUGAAUGAAAAAUUGUGUUUUGAACUAAGUAUGGAUAUUUUGAAUUUAAUAUCAGGCCUUUUAGGCUCACAAAUGCACCAAUUUCUUUUCAAUAUCUAAUAAAUGAUGUCUUUUAAGAUUUUCUCGAUGGUUUUAUUAUUUGUUACUUGGACGAUAUUUUAAUAUAAUAUAAGAACAUAAAAGGGUAUGAAGUUUAUGUUUGUUGUUGUCAUAUUAUGUAAAGUUUUGUUUGAGAAUGAAUUGAGCAUCUAGCUCUAGAAGGUAGAAUGGAAAUUAUAACAACAAAAUCUUAAUUCUAAUAGAAUACUAAAUAAAAUCUAAUUAAAACUUAAAAAUACUAAAUAAGAUUUAAUCGAAUUAAAAAAAAACCUUAAAGAAAUUAUAAAAGAAACAAUAAGAAAUUUCAAAGAAAUUGAAAGAAAAUCCACAAUAAAUCUUAAAAGAAUGCUUAAGAAAUCCUAAAAAAUAUUAGAAUAAUGAUAAAUGUAUCUUCAAUAAAUCUUAAUUAAGUUCUAAUUUUAUCCUAAUUGUAAUCCUAAUGAACUUCAAUAAAAUCCUAGACAAACCUUUAAUUCUAAAUCAAAUUCUAUAUCAAAUCUUAGACAAAUUUUAAACCCUAAAUCAAAUUCUAAAUCAUAAACUAAACCCUAAAUCAAACUCUAGAUAAAUCUUAAAUCUUAAAUCAAACCCUAGAAAAUUCAUAAAUCCUAAACCAAAUCCUAAUCAAAAUCCUAAAUCAUAAACUCAAUCUAAUCCUAAUAUACUUUAGAAUCUUAAUAUCUAUCAACUAAACUAUUGAUUUUGCCUAAAAGAUUACAAACCUUUCAACAACUAAGUUGGCAAUAAGUAUACAAAAUUUGAAGAUAAUUGCACUUACCAAAUAGAAUAGAAAUCCUAAAAUCUGCUUGUGUAUUGGCUGGCCUUCUACUCCAAUCUGAAUGUUGAACUUUCAGUAUUAAUAUCUCUUUAUUGAACAAUUUAAUUUUUUUAAAAUUUCAUAUAUGUGUAGAAAAUCAAGUCUUUUAUCUUUAAAUAUAAUUUUUUUAUUCCAAUCCAACUAAUAGAUUGGUGAAGAUCUUAGAUAUCUUAAGUGCCACUUAAAGUCUAAUUACCAAAACCUCAACCUACUUGAAAUUCAAUAGCCUUCAAUUCAACCCUUCGAUCAAGCUCAAAUUUAUAACAUACUACAAAAUGGGUAGGAUUUUUUUGUUUUGCAAUACAUAGUAUGUAGGGUUAAGAGAAGCUUGUAAACUGAUGAAUGUAUAGUUUAGAAGACAAAUUAGAUGAAUUAGUCAGAAAAAGUAGUUAUCAUCAUAUUAUGUAGUGGUUGGAAUUUAGAGGUGAGCAUAAGUAGGUUGAGGAAGAAGUAGGAGGGGCCAGACUGUGAUAGUUAUGAGUCAGAGUAAGCUUAGUGCUACCUCUUUGUUUCUUUGUAGUUGAAGAGUAAUAGAUAGUUUUUGAAUAAUGUGAAGUAAAAUUUUGGAAUAAAAAAAAUAUUUAAUGUUGUAUAUGAAAUAUGAAUUUAUUCUAGAUAAAUACAAUAGAGAAUUAUAAGUAUACAAUUGAAAGUAUUAGUGAAGAAUGGAUAUGAAUGGGAGAAUUAUAAUACUGAGGUUUGAGAAGGAGUCUUUGGAGUGUAGAUUUGUGUAAAGAAGUAUAGAAAGAAUGACAAUUAAAUGCGAAGGAUUGCAAGAAUUGGAUUAUAGAGUGAUUUUAUGCUUUCUUUUAAGAUAGUAUAGUAUUACAUAUCAUUGCCAUAAAUUAAGAGAAGAAAAGAGAUAGUGAAUGUAAAGAUAGAAUUAUUAAUUUUAAUAAUUGAUAGAAUGCAGAGGACAAUGUAUCAUUCUUGGGUGUUUUUAGUUGAUCAAGAGAUAGUUAAUUGUGAGACCCUAAUGUAUAAACUCAUGCGGAUAGUCUUUCGUUGUGUUCGAAUUCUCCUAUAUAAGUUUAUUCCAAUUAAAUUAGUCUGAAGUAAGUAAAACAAAAAUUACAUUUUAAUACUACUGUUGGAGAUUGAUAAUAGUAUUAAGUAUUAGGAAUUAACUACUAAAUGUGUGGUUGCGGAUAUCAUACAAAGAUGUUACAAAAUUAGUGUUGGUUUGAAAGUGAAGCCAAAUGUGUAGUUAAAGUGGAGAUAGAAAGCAAUUUCAAUAGUAUAUGAUGAAAGAUUAUAAUUAAUAAGAAUGAGAAUAUUGCAUUGAAAAAAAUAUGCCAAUUGAAAAGAAGAUAAAGAAGAGUGUAAGCAAAAAAUUUAUUACAGGACAAGCAAGAAUGGAAUCUAAAAAAGAAGCAUCAAUAGAAUUGGAUUAAACCAUGGUUGCAUGCUUUUCGGCAUAUUCAAGCAUACCAAGAAUUUGAUAGACUGUUAAUAUUGCAGUCAUAUAUACUAUUAAGAAAACUGCCAAGAGCACUUGCAAAAAAUUUUGUCAACAGUCCAACAUAUCUUUUGAGCCUGUUAACUAAAAAUAAAGGAAGCAUAAAAGAAUUGGAUACUCCAUUGGGUUCUUUUUUAAUAGUAGAUACAACCAAUUCUAAUAAUAUUCAAAAUGGCACAAAUUGCUUGUCAAUAAGGGCCAAUUCAGAGUGUUUCAAAAUCCAUCCUUUUCACUUCCGAAUUCAACAAAUAAAAUUAUUUGUAGAUAAUAAUAAUAAAUUGAGGAGGUCUAAAAGUUCAAAAAAGACAAUUGAAAAAGGUAGUGAUUAUUUUAAAAGAUAAUUAAGUAGAACAUUGACAUCUUCAAUGGUGGCAAGAGGCCGAGCAAUUCCAAUUGUAGUUCAAAUGGAUGCAGUGGACAAUCACACAACUAGCAUAACUCUAUUAUCUACUUUUAGAGGUUUGUUAGGUACAGAUUUAGAUCAAUAUUUGUGUCAAUUCCUGUCUGUAUGUGAAGCCAAUAAUGGUAGAAUUGAAGAUAUUUGGUUGAGAUGGCUGCCAUCAACCUUAAAAGGUACAAUAUUUGAAUGGUAUAAUUACCAAUAUAUGGACCAAUUUCUUAAUUGGGAGGCAUUAAAAAAUAUAUUUUUAAUCCAUUUUUGACCAAUUGGAUUUGAAGAAUGUCUCAAGGAAAGAUUAAUGAAUAGUAGAAUAGUAUUAAGAAAAGCGGUGCAAUAAUAUUAUAGAUGAGUAGCAAAUUUUCUUUGAAAAUAGCCAAAUAAUCAAAUACCAAAAUUAUUUGUUUUAUCUACAUAAAUAUUAAUAGACUACACCUACCAAAAUUAAAGAUGUUUAUGAAGGAGGUUCAAUCAACCACUAUUGCUUCCUAAGUUAAUUGAGCAAAGGUAUGGAAAGAAUGUCAUUAUGAUCAGUUUCUAACUACAUGAGCCACAAUGAUUCUAUCUCAAAGAGGUUAUCAAAUGCCAGCUUGGAAUGAAGCAAAAAGCAAUUAUUCAAGAAUGAUUGAUUAUAAUAUGAAUAUUAGUACAAAUCCAUAGGAAAUAGUUAAUGUUGUCCCAUUGCAGGUUGUACCACCAACAACAGCAAUUUCAUAUUCCUUAUACUACCCAUAUCAAAAACCAGUAUCUACAAAAAAAUUAUCUAAUGAAAUAAUAUUGAAAGAUUAAAAUGAAGCUUUGUUGUUAACUUUGACAAAGAAGAUGGAUGAAGUGGCUGUUAAUAUGGUAAAGGAUAUGGUAAAGGAUAUGGAAAAGAAGCAUAAAUCAAUCAAUAUGCCUCCCAAUAUUUGGUGCAUUAAUUAUAAAGGACAAGGCUAUUUGAUAAUGGUGUUAUACUGUAAUUGCUUAUAGUAUGUAAAAAUUAGUUAGAAUAUAUAAUAUGUUCAUAAGUUUUGGUGUAUUUUAGAAUGGUUAAUAGAUUAAUUUAAAGAGAGUGGAUUUAAGAAAUUUUAUUUUGAUUUUUUUUUAAUUAUAGCAUUUCAAAAAAAUUAUAAGACCUAAAUAUUUAAUAUGAAGCCUUGAGAGGAGAUUAGAUCCUAAAGAAGAAAAUCUUAACUAAUAGAAGGCUUAUUGGAGAGAAUGAAAGUAAUGCACGAUUAGAUGAAGGCAAGGAAUGGGGAUCUUCAUUCCUAUUGGUCAAAGGCCAUGCUAAAUGGACUUCAAGGAGGCUACCCGAGGCCUUAUUAGGAAUUAGGAUUUUUUUUGAAGUCAUUUGAGAUUUGGAGACUAGGAUCAUCAAUUUUAGGUAGAAAUUGGAUGCAAAUUUUGUGUGAUUUGAAGUUUUUAUGAAGGAGUUAUUGACACUCAAAAUUAAGGUGUCAAUUUCGUACCUACUGUCAUUCUUUGGAACAUAACAAACGUUUACAGAAAGCCCAAAAAGAUUGGCAACUAAGGUUGGAGACAAGACUUUUUCAACCACAAUUUUCAUGUAUUUUUUAAUGAAUUUGAAAUUCAGAUGAAGAAUUUAUAGAGGGUUGAAGUCAGCACAUUCAAAUCAAAGGUAGUAAGUAAGUGAUUUUAUUCAUAGUAAUGGUUGGAGCCAUAUCUUGAGUAUUUGGAAGAAUUUUUGGCUCAAAUCUUUUAGAAAAAGUAAAUAAUUGUGUUAAAAAGUUAUACAUAUAAACUGUGUGGCAUUUAGGUAUUUAUUUUGUGAGAUAUGAAGAAAUUUGUACAUGCAUGUAUAAAAACUAGGGUUUGAAGCUACUGUUAGGAUUUUGGUGAUAUCUUAAGAUCUGCAAUGGAUUUGCAAUUAAAAGUUGUUGUGGAAGUUGAUAAGAAUACAUAAAUACUUUAUGUAAAAUUUUAGUAAGUUUGGAUAGUCAGAUUAGGAGAUAUGAGGUAUUGAAGUUUGGAUAAAAUUCCACAUAAGGAUAUACAAGGUUUUAGAGGAUUUUAUCAUGUUUUGGAUGUUGUUGGUUACUUGAGGCUUAUGUAUUUGGUAUAAUUUCUCCAAAAAGAAAAAUAUUAUAUAUAAACUUAGAACUUCUCUUAUUUUGAAGCUUGAUUGAAUAAUUAGUGAUAACUAAGAGUCCAACAUUUUUUUGAGGAAAAUUCUCUCUAUCUUGAUAACAAAAUAUUCUUCACUACCCCAUAUAAUUAUACAAUGUAUAUUUUGUGGGAGUAUGCAUGCCACCACCAAUUGUUGGAAUUUAUGAAAGCAACAACAGUUCAAUAAUUAGACCAUGAUUCAACUGACUUCGUGGAAUGUUAAUGAAGUCCAAAGAAGAAAUAGGUUUAGUUGGAGUAGGAAUUGUUUAAAUGAAUAAAAUAGGAAUUUUUUUAAUUUUUAAAAUUUUGAGUGUAACCAAAAAUUUGGAUCUAAUACUUAAGAUUUUGUACAAAGUCAGCAAAAAUAAUUUCAAUAUCCACCUAUUCAAAAACUAACUUUAGAUUCUAUAGUACUAAGUAGUCAACUAAGAUCAUUUAACCAUCCAAUCUAGAACAAGCCCAGUCGGUAUAAACCAGUAGAAACACCUAAUAUUCCUGAUAGAGUCGAAAGAAGACCACUUUGAUGUUAUUGUUGUAGGCAGAUAAGACAUUAUGCUAGUGAAUGUCCCAAUCAAAGAACCAGUCAUGAAUAUGCUCCAAUAUGUGGAAAUUGUAAGCAGACUUGAGAUACUUAUCAGCAAUGCAAUGUUCCAUUUAAUUUCAAUAAUCAAGAUCAACAGAUGCAGUCGAGCUAGUAGUCAAAUGAUAAAGGUCUUCUUCAACAAGAAUCUCGAGUACAUUGAGUUGAGGUGAUUAAUGCAAUACUUAUAUAGGGUCAACAAAAAGAACAAGAUCCAAUUCAAGAAUUGGGUGAAUCAGUUGUGGGAGAGCAAUUCCAUCUGCUAAUGGAUAAUUUAAAACCAAUAUUAGUAGCAAGAAAUAUUUCAAUAUUGAGACCUAGUUUGUCUUAGCAACUUAAUUUGAUUUUGAUUAUUAAUUUAUUAGUCCUACCAAACCUAAUUUCGAAUAAAAUAACUUAUCCAUUAAAAGAUUUUUUGAUGGAAGGAAACUCAAAGAAUGUACAAACAACAAUUUCAAUUGCAAGAAAGGAUUUAGUAUCUCAAGGAAUAAAAGUGAAACCAAUGAAACAAAAGAAGGCAUUAGAAAUUACUUUCAAUAUGGAACCAUAUGAUAUUUUGAAAGAUUUGGAUGUACUUCAGCCAUCUAUCACAAUGAAGCAACUAUUGGCGAUAGCACCAGAAUGUUGUUCUAAAUUGAAUGCCUCAUUAAUAAGACAUAGGUCUUAUAAUAGAAAAAUUCAUGAAAUUAAUUUGAAUCUCAAUCCAAGGGCAUCAACUAUCGAUGUAUCAAUUGAUGGUAUUUUAAUUUUUGGAGUUCAAGUAGAUGGUGACUCUAAUGUCAAUUUGAUGAAUGCCAAUAUAAUGGAGGAUUUGGAUUUAAAAUAUUUACUAUCCACAACAUCGGUAUUGAAAAUGGCAGAUCAUAGUAAAAUAAAACCAAUGGGUAUUAUUUACAAUAUUAACAUUGUAAUUGCCAAAAUUAUGUAUAAAAUUGAUUAUAUUAUUUUUCAUUUAUAAAAUUUUACAUUAUCAUAUCCAAUUUUAUUAGGUUGACUAUGAUUAUAUCAAGUCAAAGCUAAGAAUGAUUGGGAUUGUGGCACAUUGAUGAUUAGAAAAGAUAGUGACAAGAUUGUGUUACAAAUGUAUCCAGUAUAAUAUCAUGAAAAAUCUCAAUUCCUAGGAUUAGAGGUUAUAUCAGAAGUUGAGAGUCAAUCCAUUGAGGAGGACGACAAAGCUAUAGAGACAAUGCACUUUGAUAAAGUUCAAAAUACCUCAAAGCACAAUGGGAUAAUUUACCAAUGUGGAGGUUCAAGCAAAUAUUUAGUAUAUCAAGAGCAUACAAUAAACUCUAAUCAUGUUAUUUUUAAUUUUAAAGAAUAAUUUUGAUAUUAAUCAUGUGAGUACAAUAGGAAUGGAGUUGUAUAGUUUUCAAUUGUCAGAUCAUAUGAAAGAUUAUGAGCCAAGUAGAAAAAUCAAAUAUGAAGUUGAGGAACCUGCGUACCAAUCUAUUAACUUAGGCACUAUUGAAACAUCAUAGGUUAUUAAGGUAUAUACCAAUAUUAUGAGUAUCGAGCUGAAAAAUUAGAAAGAAUUCUUUCUUAGCCAUAAAUUUCUUUUUGCUUGGUCAUAUGCAGAUUUAAAAGGUAUUCCUGUCGAGAUUUGUGAGCAUCGAAUUACUUUGGAGGAAGAUACUACAAUGGUUCAUCAAAGAUAAUACCGUCUUAAUUCAAAAUAUUUCCUUAUGGUAAAAGAAGAAUUGGACAAACUUUUAAAUGUAGGUUUUAUUUAUUUAAUUGUGUAUAGUGAAUGGAUUUCACCAAUUGUGAUGGUGCCAAAGAAGAAUGAAAAAAAUCAAAAUUUGUCAAGAUUUUUGUAAAUUGAAUGCAGCUACCAAGAAGGAUUAUUUUUCUUUACCUUUUAUCGAUAGUAUCUUAGAUACAAAGAAAGAUAUGAAUGUUAUUCCUUUUUGGAUGGAUUUUUGGGUUACAAUGAAGUUAAAAUUACAGAAGAGGAGAAGUUAAAGACUACUUUUAUUAUGAAUUGGGGCACAUUUGCUUAUAAAGUGAUGCCAUUUGGGUUAUGUAAUGCCUCCACCACAUUUCAAAGAGUGAUGAUGUAAGCAUUUUAUGAUUAUUUAUAAUUAUUAAUAGAGAUAUUUUUAGAUAAUUUUUUUACAUUUAGUACGAAGACAAAAUAUUUGGAAUGUCUUCAUAAGUUUUUGGAUCACUGUGUCAUUAUAGGAUCUCUUUGAAAUCAAAGAAAUGCCAAUUUGGAGUACCGUCUAGUAAGUUAUUGAGAUACAUUGUCUUACUGACUUAUAUUGCUACUGACUUGGAUAAAGUUACUAGUAUAUUGGCUUUACCAAAGCUAGAGACAAUGUUGGGUGUUUAUAAUUUUAUCGACCAUGUUAAUUAUUAUUAACAAUUUAUUCAUUCAUUUGGGGGUAUAUGUCAACCUUUAACUAAUUUCUUAAAAAAACCACUCUUAGAUGGAUCUAGUCCAAUUUAGACUGAAGAUUGUAUAAUUACAUAUGAAGAAUUGAAACAAAAAUUGGUGUCUAUACUAGUAGUGGUUACACCUUGUUGGACGAAAUUAUUUCAUAUUUAUAUUGAUGUAUCCAAUGUUGCUAUUAGAUCAGUAUUGAAUCAAAAAGAUGAAAAUGAUUUUGAUCAUCUAAUAUAUUUUACUAGUCAUCAAUUGGUUGUAGCCAAAUAAAAUUACACUACUAUAGAACGAGAAGCCUUGGACAUGAUCUACUUUGUCCAAAAUUUUUGGCAUUAUUUGCUUGGUUAUCUAUUUGUGUUUUAUGUCAAUCAUAAUGCUCUAAAGUAUAUGGUUAAUAAAUCUUAAUUGAGUGGAUGCAUUGCUCAAUGAGUGUUAAUACUUUAAGAAUUUAAUUUUACUAUUAAUGUUCAACCAGACAAAAAACAUGCCAAUGCAGAUCACUUAUCUCGAUUGUCCAAUAUAUUAGAAAAUAAAUCUAUCCAUGAUAUAUUUUUUGAUGUAUAGUUACUAACCGUCAAUGUGAUUAUAUCCAAAUAUAGUAAAUAGAUUCAAUAUCUAAUAUUUUAGAUAUUUCCAACUCCAUAUAGUGAGAAAUUAAAGAAAUGGCUGAUUUUAAAAAGUACACCAUAUACAAUGAUUGGUGAUGCCUUGUAUAAGUAAGGACAAGAUGGAAUUUUAUACCGAUGUAUCUUUCAAAGUGAAGUGCAUACCAUAUUGGAAGGAUGCCAUUUGGAUAGUUGUGGAUGGUAUUUUGCCAGUGAUAGUACUACUCAUAAAGCUCUAAUGGCUGGAUAUUAGUGGCCAACCAUGUUUUCGGAUGCACACCAAUAUGUCCGAUGUUGUGAUCUUUGUCAACAAAUUGGUCGACCUAUAAAAACUUUUGUCAUGUUGUUGGUAUCGAUUUUGACACAAGAACCAUUUGAAAAAUGGAAGAUUGAUUUUGUAAGACCAAUCACACCAGCCUCUUGAAAUGGACAGAAAAGAUAUAUUUUGGUAGCGAUUGAUUAUGUCAUCAAAUGGACUGAGGUUGUAGUAACGAAAGCUAAUAAUGUCAAUAUAGUAGCUAUAUUUUUAUAUGAGAACAUUACCACCUGUUUUGGAUGUCCUAAAGAAUUGAUUAGCAAUCAAAAAAAUGAUUUUAUUAAUUCUACGAUUGUAGUUUUGACAAAUAAAUAUGAGAUCAAACAUCAAAAAAUAAUCCUAUAUCACCUUUGACCCAAUGAGCAAACUGAAAAGAUCAAUGGUAUUCUAUGUAAAAAUUUUAACUAAGAUAGUAUUUGAUACAAGAAUGGAUUGAGAUAGUAAAUUGUUUGUAGCAUUGUAGGUGUAUUGUAUUGCAUAUAAAGUAACUACCAAUUCCAUACCAUUUUAAUUAGUGUAAAGGCAAGAAGCAAUCUUACUAAUUGAAUUAGAGGAACAGAGUUUGAAAAUUGCAUUGGAUGAAUGUCUUGGCAACAAAGAGUCCCUCCAAUAUCGAUUAGCAAAACUAAAAUAAUUAGAUGAAGUUAGAACUAUGGUUCUACUAAGUAUGGAAAUUACACAACAUUGAUGUAAAAGUUAUUAUGAUAGUAAAUUAUGUCCCAAGUUGUUUCUGUCCAAUGAUCUAGUACUUCUUUAUGAUAGCAGAUUUAAUAAUUUUCUAAAAAAAUUUCAAGUUUGUUGGCAUGGACCAUAUCAUAUAGUAGAAGGUUUUUCUAAUGGAUUUGUUCAAUUGUAAGAUUUUAUAGAUACCCAAUUUACUACAUAUAUCAACAAAAACAGAUUACAACUUUUUUAUACGUAAACCCGGUGUCGAAGUAGAGAGAAUUUGCCUCAAGAGAGUACUGGCCUCUUGGCUGCCACUAAUUGCUUAAUGAAGUCUUGAGAUAAGACUAAGUUUUUUUAUAUAUAUAUAUAUAUAUAUAUAUAUAUAUAUAUAUAUAUAUAAAAUACUUUGAAGUGUUAUUACGUCAAAUAUAUAAAUCUUAAGUUUUUAAAAAUAUCCAAAAUAUGAUAAACCUCUAAAUCCUUUAAUAUCUUUAUGGGGUAUUAUUCCCAAACUUCAAAAAGUCAUAUCUUUCAAUUGGACCAUUCAAAAAUACUCAAAUUUUACUCAAAGUAUUCAUGUACUUCUAACAACUAUUGCAACAAAUUUCAACUACAAGUUUAUUGUGGAUUUUAAGUUUUCACCAAAACCCGAAUAGUAGCUUUAAACCCUAGUUUUUAUACACCUACAUGCAAUUCUCUUCAUAUCUCACAAAUUAAACAUCCAAAUCCCACAAAGUUUAUAUGUAUAGCUUUUCAAUACAAUUAUCUAUCUUCUUAAAAAGAUUUGAGCCAAAAAUUCUUCUACAAACUUAAGAUAUGGCUCUAAUCAUUACUAUGAAUAAAAUCACUUAUUUACUGCCUUUGAUUUGGAUGCACUUACUUUAAUUUUCUAUAACUUCUUUAUCCGAAUUCUAAAUUCACCAAAUAUUACAUAAAAAGUAUAGUUGAAAAAAUGUUCUCUCCAAUCUUAGGUUCUGAUCCUUCUUUGCUCUUUGCAAACGUAUGUUAUGCCCCAAAGAGUAACAGUAGGUACAAAAAUAACACCUCAACUUUGAGCGCUAAUAACUCCUUCAUAAAAACUCUAAAUUACACAAAAAUUUACAUCUAAUUUUUAUUAAAAAUCCUAAACUUGAUGAUCUAAGUCUUCAAAGCUCAAAUGACUUCAAAAGAGAAAUCCUAAUUCCUAAUAAGGCCUCGGAUAGCCUCCUUGAAGUCCAUUCAGUAUGGCCUUCGACCAAUAGGAAUGAAGAUCGCCAUUCCUUGCCUUCAUCCAACCAUGCCUUACUUUCAUCCUACCCAAUAAGCCUCCUAUUAGUUAAGAUUUUCUUCUUUAGGCUCUAAUCUCCUCUCAAGGCUUCAUACUAAAUAUUUAGGUCCUAUAAUAUUUUUGAAAUGCUAUAAUUAAAAAAAUAAAAUUUAAAAUAAAAUUUCUUAAAUUUACUCUCUUUAAAUUAAUCUAUUAACCAUUCUAACAUACACUAAGACUUAUGAACAUAUUAUAUGUCCUAACUAAUUUUUACAUACUAUAAGCAAUUAUAGUAUGAUAUUGGGAUGGGUUUUAAAAAUUGGAAGGAGGAAGGCUUAUUUAUUAAUGAUAGAUUGUCUAUAAUGAUAGGUGUAUGUUGAAGUAAAGAUGGCUGAUGGUUAAUUUUGGAUACUAAUAUUGACUAGUAAGGGAAUCAGAAGUGAGAUUAUGAUCAACAAAAUUAGGGAUUCUUAAUCCAUACUUGAGUUAAGGUUAGGAACGGGGCACUUAGUGGCAAUUAUUUUCCGUAUUUUUUAUAUUAUUAUUUAGAACGUACCAGUUUGGAGAGUAGGAUUUAUUCCAAUAAGCAAGAAUGUAGUAUUAGUACGAGCAAGGAGUAAAAAAUGAGUAUUAUACAAUAUCGAUGGAAAGAAUGAAGCGAGCUAUAGAAAGAAAAAAAAGAAGGUGAAAUGUGAGAGGUAAGAGUAAUUUGGAAUUGCCAUCCUUUGUGGUUUUGAUUAAUAUGGAACCAAUGAAGUUGGAAUUCUGUAAGAGCACAAAAAGGCAGAGAAAUUUUAAAAAUAUGUAGUUAUAUGUGUUUUUGUGAAAGUUUGAUAAUUUGCCACCAAUUGAUGUACAAUUAUUGAAAGAGUAUAUUUUCAAUUAUGACUUAGAGGAUGGUUUGAGUGUAGAAAAGGGGAGAAUUAUUGGGAUUAAUGAGACUACCUUGCAAAAGAUAUUGCAUCUCCUAAUUUGUGAGCUUGUAGUGAGUGCUAAAAAGUUCAGCAAUUUUAGACUGGUGUUGUAUUACGUAAUUUUUUAUUUGAAAAUAUACUAGGUACUUAACUGUAGAGAAUUUAGUUUUAAUUUUUUGACCAAGCUCCAAUAAGUUAUUUAACCAUAAAAGUAGAAGACAAAUAAAUACCACAAUAUCAAAAAGAUAUUAUAUAAAUAAAUAUUUUUAUAUUUAAGAAGGUUUAUACAUAAGGCUUUCGAAAAUAUCUAGAAAUUUUCUAAUAUUCUUGGCUAUACCAAAUCAUAGCUAACCAUUUACUCAUAGAUUAGGUUUUCAAUAACUUCAAGGAAAAUCUACAAUCUAUUUUAAAAAAUUAUCUUUAUAUAAGAAUUUAAUCAUAGCUCUAUAUAUCCAUCUUCAACAUAUCUUUAAAGUCUUGGCUUCCAAAAUACUCCUUUAUUUUGUAUAAAAUGCUCAAGUUAUAAUAAAAUCCUUUCAAAAUAUAAUAUUUCUUCUUGAACUUCCACAAAGGAUAUUUUCUUCUUGAACUUUAGAAAUUCAUAUCUCAUGAUUCAACAAUUCAUAUUUUUUCAAAUUUAAAAAUAUUAUAGAAUUUAUCCUUAAGCUUUAUUUUAUAAAAAUUCAACUAUAAAUUCACUAUUGAUCGUUUGGCAUCUUAAAAAUCCUAGCAGGUACUCUAAAAUCCUAAUUCACAAGUAAUUAAGUACUAUUUUUAUAAUAUCUCACAAAUUCAAAAUCCAAAUGUCACAAAACUUAUGUACAAAGUUUGAUUACAUGACAAUACAUAUUCUUGGAAAUGUUUAUCUAAAAUCUUAUCAAAUUGCACAAGAUAUAACUCAAAAUACAACCACUAGCAAUUCAGGUCACUUACUACAUUAAGAUUUGUAAGUGUUGACUUCAACCUCCAAUAUCUCUUUUAUCCAAACUUGAAAUCUAUCAAAUAGUAUACCAAAAGUGUAGUUAAAAGAGUGUUUUUUUUAAAUUCCAAUUGCCGAUCCUCUAUUACUUUCUUUACACAUGUGUUAUAUUCAAAAGAGUGAUAGUAGGUACAAAAUCAACACCUUUACUUUGAGCUCUCAUAUCUCUUUUAUAUAAACUCCAAAUGAAACAAAAUUUGUACCAAAAUCAUAGCCAAAAACCUUAACUUCUUGAUUUUAGCCUCGAAAGUUCAAAAACCUCUAAAAAACUAAUCCUAAUCUCUAAUAUGGCCUCAGGCAGCCUCCUUGAAGCCCAUUGGUCAUGAUUUUUGACCAAUAGGAAUAGAAAUUUUUAUCAUCCAUCUUCAUUCAUCUAUAUGGAUGCCUUAAACUCUCUUUUUGCUAACAAAAUUUCUCUUCAACUAUUUUCUUUACAAGAUUUAUUCAAUAUAUGUCCUAAACACUAUAUUAAAGAAAUAGAAUAAGACUUUAAAGAUCAUCAAUAUCUAACAAACGUGACUCUAAAUGUUUAAAACUUACUAUUAAUAAGAUCAACUUCAAAGUCACUAUCAAAAGGAAAUAAAGUUAUAUAAAUUUUAAUAGAAAUUCUUUUAAACUAUAUCUUUUUGAAGUUGUAAUCUAUUCACAUCCGACAACCAACAAAAAUCUACUAACAUGGCUUUUACCAUGUUAUCUAGUAUAUUGUGUAUUAAAUGUAUAAACACAUUAUUUUCACAUAAUAGCCAAACCACAAUACGACACUGAGAAGUUAUUUCAAAGGUAAAUUGUCAUCAUUUGAGAGAAAUUAAGCUUAGCAAAUAGCAUAGGUACUUACACUAGAGCUUAUGGAGUAGAUUUGUUUUAUUUAGAAGCGUUUAGGCUUGAAUUGAUACACCACGUACAUGUCCAAAUGAUUACUGUUUGUUAUAGUAGGAAUGCUUGAAAGAAUGGUGUUUAAUUGAGGAGCCUUUGUAGCAACUAGCGGAAGACGGAAAAAUUUGUAUCAUUGCUCUGCUUCAAUUAUGUGCAUUCUAUGAUUGUGUAUAUGUUAAGUCAAACAUUGCCAGCAAAGGAGAAAAAUAUAUCCUCCUCAGUGUCUGAAUGAGGUAUUUGGAGUUUAAUGGUAUUAACAAUUGGUCCAAGGGUCGUAGUGCAUGAAAUUGGAAAGAAGUAAUUUAAUGGCAUAGGGGGCUAUACAAGUAUUUACAUGAGGGUAGUGUCAUAAUACAUGAAGUCUUGCUUGAGAAUACUCCAAGUACUUGGUUGUGGAAGGUAGAAUAGAAAUUACAACAACAAAAUCCUAAAUCUAAUAGAAUACUAACUAAACUCUAAUUAGACCAUAACAACACUAAACAAGCUUUAAUCAAAUUCAAAGAAACUUCAAAAGAAUUACAAAGCAAUAAUAAGAAAUCUUAAAGAAAUAUUAAAAUGAUCACAAAUAUAUCUCAAAUACAUGUCAAUUCAAUCUCAAUUUAAUCCUAGUUAAAAUCCUAUUGAACUUCAUUCAAACUUUAGGCCAAAAACUAACUAAAUCUUAAAUCCUAAAUAAAUCCUAAUUCUAAAUCAAAUCAUAACCAAAUCCUAAACCCUAAACCAAAUUGAAAUCCUAAAUUAAAUCCUAAAACAAAUCGUAAUUCUAAAACAAAUCCUAAUCAAAUCCUAAACCUAAAGUAAAUCCUAAUCAAAUCCUAAAUCAAAUCCUAAAUCCUAAUAAUUCCUACAAUAGAUUUAAACGUCAAUUACUAAUGAAUGAAUUAUUGAUCUUAACUCAAAAUUUGCAUGUAUUUUAAAAAAUUUGAAAAGAAUUGAAAUUAUCAAAUAGACAAUAGUUUCAAAAACGUGCUUAGAUAUUGGCUAGCCUCCUCCAACCUUGAUGCUAAUCUCCCAGAGCCAAUAUCUCUCUUUUUUCCCAUUUAAUUGAUUUCAAAAUUCUUAUACACACAAGAAAAUAAAUUUAAUAUCCUCACAUAUAAAUUUCACUCCAAUCCAACCAAUAGAUUGCAAGAAAUCUUAAAAACUUUUAUUUGACCUAAAAUUCUACUUUCUGAGACCUUGAUCCACUUAAACCUCAAUAAUCCUCAAUUCAACUGUUAGAUCAAGCUAAAAUAUACAACACUUAUUAUGCACAACUAUAACCAUUAAUCUACAAAAUUUUACCUAUAGAUCUAUUAUAAAAAUCUUGAAAUCACUAGAAACGUCAACUCUAUUUUAUUUCACAAAACCUAAGUCAUCUAAAAAUAAUCUUAACUUUGUAAACCUUUUACAAAGUCAUAAUAAAUCCAAUUGCCCAAAACCAAUACUCAUAGAAAUCUUAUCUAGUUUUCUAUCAAAUUCCACUCUCUGAUCUGCAAAAAAAACCCUCGAGUUGUUUCUGAGACUCAGUUUUGUGUCUUAGGCUCUGAUUUCGACUGUGGUUCAUAACCGGCCCUCUUUAGGUAUCAAUAUGUAAUUUUUUGAAGUAAAUUUUGUUAGAAUUUGCUUUUAACUUCUUUAUAAAGAUGUUUAUAUUAUUUAUUUUUCCAAUCUACUUUAUUUUAUCUUAUUUAUGGUCCUACAAAGUAAAUAGAAGUGACUUUUAUAAAAAAGUAGUAGUACUACUAAAAGUUUUAUUACCUUCCUAUCUUUUAUUCAUAUUUUUUUACUUUAUCUUUUAACUUGGCUCUUCUAUAAUAAGAUCCAUAUUAUCAUCUUUCACCAUAUAGAUGUGUUAUAACAUGACAACAGAUUCCAAUUUUGUCAACGAUUGAGGUGACGGCUUAAGUUUUAGUUUCAAUGGAUAUAAAUCAGUUAGAAUUAAUGUAGAGUAGAACAUUAAAAGAAAUAAAUCUUAAGGAGGUUUUAUUGGCUCAAAUUUCUCAAUUGCAGCUCAUAGUGAAUAAAUUGGAUGGAGAAAGAAAUUUAAGGGAGCAAAAAAGAGUUAUUGGAGUAAAGCCAUAGAAUGAUAGAACAAGAUUGCAUGAUCAAGAAAAAUAUAAAAUUCAAGUUGUUAUUGGAGCAUAAAUUUAGAGAGAAACAUGAAGCUUGGAAAUAAGAAAAAGAACACAUUCAACGUAUUGUGGAAGGCCAAAGGUAAGAGAUAUUUUAGAUUUGCAGUACAUUAAUUUUGGAACAAGAAAAGGGAAAGUGUUAGUUGGAAAUAGAAUGAAAAAAGAUAGCAUUACUAGAACAAAAAAAAGCGGGAAUUGGUUGACCAAUAUAGAAUUGAAAUAGAAAAAUUAAAGAUAGAAAUUAGCACUCUGAAAGAUUUAGUAAAAAAAUUGGAGGAUGAUUUAGCCAAUAUCGAUUAGUCACAGAUAUCUACCUUUUUUAUUUCAAUAAUUGUUGAAUUAGAAGAGGAGGUGAGGCAACAACAACAUUAAUUGGAAGCAAAUAAUGUCAGGAUUCUGCAGUUGGAAGCUCAAAUUCAUGAAUUGGGAGCAUACAAUGAAGACUUAUUAGCCCAAUUGAGAAAAGAUUCAAUAGAAGUAUCGAAUAAGGACUAAAUUUUAUCAUUAGAAUUAAAAACUUUGGAACCAUCUAUAGACAAUAUUGGGAUUGAUCAAUCCAGUGAGCCCAGAUAGUAGUUUGCAAGGAUGUUGCAUAGUUAGAAGUGGGACUAUGUAGAAUGGGUAGGAUUUUUUUUUUUGCAAUAUAUAGUACGUAGAAUUAAGAGAAGCUUGUAAACUAAUGAAUGGAUAAUUUAGAAGGUAGGAUGGAUGAUUCAGUCAAAAAAGUAGCUAUCAUCAUAUUAUGUAGUGGUUGGCAUUUUGAAGUAAACAUAAGUAGGUUGAAGAAGAAGUAAGAGGGGCGAGACUGUGAUAGUUAUGAGCCAGAGUAAGCUUAGUGCUACCUCUUUGUUUCUUUGUAGUUGAAGAGUAAUAGAUAAUUUUUGAAUAAUGGGAAGUAAAAUUUUGGAAUGAAAAAGAUAUUUAAUAUUGUAUAUGAAAUAUAAAAUUUAUUGUGCAUGAAUACAGUGGAGAAUUGUAAGUGAACAAUUAGAAGUAUUAGUGAAGAAUAGAUAUGAAUGGAAGAAUUAUAAUACUGAGGUUUGAGAAGGAAUCUUUGGAGUCUGAAUUUGUGUGAAGAAGUGUAGAAAGAAUGACAGUUAAAUAUGGAGGAUUCCAAGGAUUAGAUUAUGGAGUGAUUGUAUGCUCUCUUUUAAGUUAGUAUAGUAUUACAUAUCAUUGGUAUAAAUUAGGAGAAGAGAAGAGACAAUGAAUAUGAAGAUAAAAUUAUCGAUUGUUAUAUUUGAUAGAAUGUGAAGGACAAUGUAGCAUUCUCGAAUAUUUUUAGUUGAUCAAGAGAUAGUUAAUUAUAUGACCUUAAUAUAUAAACUCAUGCAGAUAGUCUUUCUUUGUAUUUGAAUUCCUCUAUACAAGUUUAUUUCAAUUAAAUUAGUCUGGAAUAAGUAAAACAAAAAUUAUACAUAUACUCCAAAGAACUAUUCUUAUAAGUCUUCAAAAUAUGAAGUAUUGAUCUACUACCAAACUCAUAAAAUUCUUUAAAACGUAAUAUCUUUUUUAUUUCACAAAUCCUAGAGUCACUCAAAAUAACUGUGACUUAGCAAAGCUCUUGUAAAGUUAUUACAUACUUAAUUCUAUUCAAAUUAAUAUUAAAAAAAAAUCCUAUUUAGUUUUCUUUCAAAUUCCAUUCUUUGAUCUACCAAAGAAUCCUUGAAUUGCCAUUCAUAACUCGUUUUAUGCUUUGGAGUCCGAUUUCAAUCCAGGUUCAUAAUUAGUCCUUUUCAGGUAAUAAAUUUUACCCUCUUGAGUUAGUUUUUGUUUAAAUAAAUUUCUAAUUUUUUCUUAUAUAUGCUCAUAUUCUCUACUUUUUUAAUCUAUCUUCUUUUAUCUUUUUUAUGGCCUUAUAAAAUAAGUAGAAGCCUAAUUUAUUAAAAGAUAGCAUUUAAAGCUUUAAUUCUAUUUUCUUUAGUAUUAUUUUCUAUUUUCUAUGAUAAUUCGAUACAAUUUUUGAAGUAAGAUCUUCUAUAAUAUAAUAGAUUUUGUACCUCUUUCACUUAUUAGUUAUGUUACAUCAUGACAUCCAUCUCUUCUAAACUUGUGUAUCCUUAGGCAUGUACCAUUGAUUCUUCAAUAUGUUGAUAUAGAGUAUUCUUUAACUUGAUCACAUACUUGAUCUUCAAUUUGCUCUUCUUCUUCUAUCUUAUUAUCUUGUAAUGGAUUUUAUUUUUCAUCAAAACUAAUAUUUUCACCUCUUUGCUUAAAUAAUUUGAUUCUUGUCCCUGCUAUAAGCAUCUUUAAUUUUGUACCAUCAAGUUUUUAUAACAAGUAUGUUCCAUUAUUGUAUAUUUAUUUGAAAACAUAAGGCUUGAACCAUCUCCUUACAAAUUCUUUUACCAUGUUUUAUUGGUUGUUUACACUAAUAUCAUAAAUCAACACCCAAUCAUUAUUUAGAAUUAGUUUUGGACAUAAUCAGUAUUUUUUGUCUAAUCUUUCAUUAUUUUUUUUCCUUACCUCUUUUAAUUUCUUUAUAGCUACUUCAAUGUCGUUGGGUCUUCUUUCAAGUUUUCAAAUUAGUAAUGCUAAUAAUUCUUUCCUUCUUAAAUCAACUUCUUAAGGUAAUAUAUUCUAUGUUAAUACAACUUCUUCUAUUGGCAUCACUGAUUUUUAUCCAUACAUCAAUUUUGCUAGCAUAUGUACUGUAACAAUACUAUAGAUUGUACAAUCUGCUUAUAAUGCAAAUGGUAAUAAAUUAGGCCAAUGACUUAUCUUACCUUUGUAUACUUUAAUUAAUGCUUUAACAAUUAGAAAGUACCCACAUUCAUUCUUAUUAUUUUCUUUUGGAUUAUAUGUAGUUGUUAAUGUAAGUCUAAUGUCUAUCUUUCCAAAGAACCCUUGUGCUUCAUUUGCAUCUAAUUCUCCUCUAUCUAUAGUGAUUUUUUCAAUACAACCAUAUCGGCAAAUAAUUUCUUCUAAUAUAUAUUGAUAUACUCCUUCCAUAGUCUUUGUUCAAAGUACUCUUUUUUCAACUUGAUUUGUCAAAUCUUCUUAAGCAAAUAUCAAAUAUUUCUUUUGUUUAAAUCUUAUUAUUAUUGCAAGUAAAUCAACCACCUAUUUAUAGUAAAUUACUAAUGGAUUUGUUAGAUGUAAUCCAUCUUAAUGACAAAUUUUUGAAUAUAUUUUGACAAGUCUCAUAAGAUCUUAUAAAAUCUGCUAUAUCCUUAUGCAUGUUCUUUCACCAAUAUUUUUCUUUCUAUUUAAUAAAUAUUACCUAAAUACUUCAAUGCCUUGUUCAUAAACUUUCAUAAAAUUCUUUAAUAAUCUUUUGUUGAGCUUCCAAAUUAUAUAUUACUCAUUGAAUGUUUUUCCCUCUCUUGUUUAGAUGCUUCCACAAAAACCCAUUUCAAAGAAAAUAUCUGUAUACUUUCCUUCAAAUCCUCCUAAAUUCUUUGUCUAUCCAAACUUCUUACUACAAUAAUAAAAUUAAGUAUUUUCUUAUAUACAACCAUUCGCUAUCAUAUAACUCUUUUGAAAAUAAUUCAAGUAGUAUAGCCAAACAUAAUCCAUCCCUUCUUACAUACAAAGUCAAAUAAAAGUCAAUGCCAAUAUUUAGUUCAUCAUCAACCAUAUCAUCUUCAUUAUCAUAUUGUGCUUGUAACAACAUAUCCACAACCAUAUCAUCUUCAUUAUUAUAUCAUGCUUGUAAUAACAUAUCUACAACCAUAUUAUCUUUUUUUGAAAUAUAAUUGAAUUCUAGAUUCAUAGACUUUAUAUAUGCAAUCUAUCUUAACAUUGCUAUAUUUGAUGUAAAAAAACUAAUAAUCAUGACUAAUAAGGAUAAAUAAUUUAUUUUUAUAACUAUUGAUGUACCAAUCAAAUAUUCUUUUUAAUUUUUCAUGACUAUUACUAUAGCCCAUAAUUCUCUUUUAAGUUGUGUAUAUUUCCUUUGCCUAACAUUCAAAAUCCUUAUUCCAAAUCUUACUAUAUAUCUAUUUUCUCAUUCAUUAUCUUGUCCAACUGCCCAACCUAUUCAAAUUGGACUUGCAUCAUUUGUUAAUAAUACUAACCUUCCACAUUUAUAAUUUACUUUCUUCAAAGUUUGAAGUAAAGAGAGAAGUUCUUUUAAUUUUUCUAUAGUUUUUCUUUGUUUUCUUUUCCAAUAAUUUUUUUUAUUCUUUUGUAAUAACUCAUAUAAUAGAUUUGCUACAUGUGCAAAAUGAGAUAUCCAUAUAUGAUAGAAAAUACAUGCUUCUAAAAACCUCUAGACAUCUAUUGUGUUUGCACAUUCUUUUAUCUUUUUAAUAUUAUCAACAUUUUUCAUACUUGGUUUGCGUUCAUAUAAUCCAUAUAUGUGUUCCACCACCAAAACUUUCUUUAUUUCAAACAUUGAUUUUGUCUCCGAUAAGAUUAAAUGAACUUCUUCUAAUCUUGUCAAAAUCUUCUGACAAUCAUCAAUAUGAUCUGCCACAAAUUCCUACAUCCCUUUGAAUCCAAUGUCUCAACUUUUUUUUCUUCUUCACAUCCUUUAAUUGGUACAUCAUCUAAAAUAGGUAUUUUUAUAUUUAGAAUAAAUUUUCUUAAUACCUUAUACAUUCAAUUUAUCAUGUGUGCCAUAGAAUUUGUAGGCCCUUAUGGUAAUGUACACAUUUUGACCAAUCUUAAUGGUAUCUUCAUAGUUGUCAAAUCUCUACUUUGUAUUACCAAUUAAAGUUGAUCAUAACUUGAAUAAAGAUCAUCCAUUGAAUAGAUAGCUCUUCCAGCAAAUGCUUUUGAAAAUUCAUCCACAAUUGAACUUGAAUCCAUAUUUCUAAUAGUCACUUUAUUCAUAGAUUACAUGUCUUGUAUAAAUCUCAUUUAUCUAUUUUUUUUGGCAUUAUAAACCAUUGAUUAAAAUAUGGUGCCAUAAAUGGUUUCAAAAUUUCUAUUUUAUUUUUUUCAUUGAAUAAAUCUAUUAACUUAGAUAAAUAUGCUCUUGAUACUAGAAUUAGUUACAAAUUCCAUGGUUCAUAAGGAAUAGUAAAAAGAACCAUAGAUGCUACUAUACUUAGAUUAAUACAUCUAAUUUCAUGUACCUUAAAUGGAAAAGUCUUUCUAUGUUAUUCAAGCAUAUCUUUAAAAUAUUUUUCUUCACUUUUUGUCAAAAAUCCAUCACAUCCAACAUUUAAUCCAUCUAAUAUAGUAUCCACAAAUUCAUGCCCUAUCUUCCUAGGAUACCUUAAAUUUCAUUGUAUAGAUGCUCCACUCACCUUUUCUUCACAAUUUGAUGGUAGUGGCAAAGCCACUCAUUUGACCUUUUUUGCCAUUGAUUUAUACUUAGUUUCAAUAUGUACCUCUUGGCGAUUUAAAUUUUCUAUAAAUCCAUAAAUUUCAUCAUAAAAUUCUUUAAAAAAUACAUCAAUAACUCUAUUCUCUCCUUGUAAUCUAUCUUGCAACAAAUAAUUUAAUUCCUCCAUAGUAUCUGCAAAUUCCACUUCUUUAAAUGCUUUUGAAAUAAAUUUAUUUUUAAUAAAUCCUCUAUUUUUCUUUAUUUUUUUCAAUAUUUUUAAUAUAAUAUUUAUCCAUCUUUUUCAUCUUAUCAAUAGUCUUAAAAGAUAACACACAAUUUUAUGACAAUCUAAUAAGCUGAAUAGAUAAUAUCUUCUCUACUAUAUUUAAUGGGAGCAUCUAUUUUUCUAAUCUAUUAUAAUCUUGCCUUUUAAUGGUAUAUGGUGAAAAUCCCUUAUAUACUCAUCUCUAAAUUCUUUAGUAACCUUAGAAAAAAGUUGCUCUUUCAAACUUUCGUGAUUUCUGUCAUGAUUAGCACAUACCGUCAAAAAUUGUACCAUUCUUAUUCUAUCUUGACUCCUAAUUAAAAUAUAUGCCGAUCCAUUGUUCAUAACCUUUAUUUCCAUGCAUGUAGCCAUAAUAUGAGGUUGUCCUAGAAUGAUAGGAUAAGUAGACAUAUCUUGCACAAAGAAGUUUUUUUCAUCACUAACAUCUCCUAUUGUAAUCUUUACAUUUGAACAUGCCCCAUAUAAUUCUCCUCGUGAAUUGUUUGCCGCUUGAAUCAUCCAUCCAUGCUUGGUGUCAAUAGGCUAUUUUCUCCUUUCAUACAAUUCUUUUGACACUAAAUUGAUCUCCAAACCAUGAUCAAUUAAUGCCACAAUAGGUUCAUCUAAAUUCUCCAACUUCACCAAUGUCUUUAUUGUUGCUCUUAUCCAAUGAUUACAAGAAUAAUGAUUCAAAGUUUGGAUUUCUUCUUCUUCUGUAAUCCUUGUACGUGAAACAUUUCCAUAUACAUAAUCAUUAUCUUCUUCAUCUAUUGUCACCCUUGUCCUAUGUACAUUUAAAGCCAUAUUUUCAUCCAAAAUUUGUCAUUUUUUCUUAAUAAUAUCCAUAGUGACCUCAUAGAAUUUUUUCUUUAAUAUCUCAAGAAUUUAUUCCAAUGUAAAUUCUAUCUUGUCAUUUAAAAUGCGUUGUCAUAAUACGUAAAGUCUUGCUUGAGAAUGCUCCAAGCACUUGGCUGUGGAAGGUAGAAUGGAAAUUGCAACAACAAAAUCCUAAUUCUAAUAGAACAUCAACAAUGCUAAACAAGCUUUAAUAAAAUUCAGAGAAACCUCAAAGGAAUUCCAAAAAAACAAUAAGAAAUCUUAAAGAAAUAUUAGAAUUAUUACAAAUAUAUUUCAAAUACAUCUCAAUUCAAUCUUAAUUUAAUUCUAAUUAAAAUCUUACUUCAUUCAAACUUUAAGUCAAAAACUAACUAAAUCUUAAAUCCUAAACAAAUUCAAAUAAAACCCUAAAUUCUAAAUCAAAUCCUGAUUAAAUCCUAACUAAAUCCUAAAUCCUAAUCCUAAAUCAAAUUCUAACCAAAUCCUAAUCCUUAUCCUAAAUCCUAAACCAAAUCUAAACCAAAUUCUAAUCCUAAAUCAAAUCCUAACCAAACCUUAAUUCUAAAUCAAAUCCUAACCAAAUUCUAAAUCCUAAUCCUAAAUAAAAUCUUAACCAAAUCCUAACCCUAAUCCUAAACCCUAAACCCUAAACCAAAUUCUAACCAAAUCCUAACCCUAAUCCUAAAUCCUAAACCAAACUCUAACCAAACUCUAAUCUUACAUCAAACCCUAAUCAAACCUUGAUCCUAAAUCAAAUCCUAACCAAAUCUUAAAUCCUAAACCAAAUCUUAAAUCCUAAAUCAAAUCCUAAUUCUAAUUCUAAAUCCUAAAUCAAAUCCUAAUUAAAUCUUAAUCCUAAUCUUACACCCUAAACCAAAUCCUAACCAAAUCCUAAUCCUAAAACAAAUCCUAACCAAAUCCUAACCCUAAAUCAAAUCCUAACCAAAUUCUUAUCCUAAUCCUAAAUCCUAAACCAAACCAUAACCAAACCCUAAUCUUAAAUCAAACCCUAACCAAAUCCUAACCCUAAAUCAAAUCCUAACCAAAUCCUAUUAAUUUCUACAUCAAAAUUAAACCUCAAUAACUAAUGAAUGAACCGUUGAUCUUAACUCAAAUUUUGCACACUUUUUAAAAAUUAAAUUAUAAAUAUAUAUAUAUUUUUUUGAAAAUGAUCGGAAUUUCCAAAUAGACGAUAGCCCCAAAAAUGUGCUUGGGUAUUAGCCGAUCUCCUUCUCCAACCUUAAUGCCAAUCUCCCAGAGCCAAUAUCUCUCUUUUUCACCAUUCGAUUGAUCUCAAAAUUCUCAUAUACAUAGAAAAACAAGUCUAAUAUCCUUUCACAUAAAUUUCACUCCAAUCCAAAUAGUAGAUUACAAGAAAUCUUAAAAACCCUCACUAGACCUAAAAUUCUACUUUUUGAGACCUUAACUCUUUUAAUCCUCAAUUCAACCGUUAGAUCGAGCUAAGAUUUAUAAUACAUAUUAAGCUCAUCUAUGACCAUUAACCCAAAAAAUUUCACCCCUAGAUCUAUUACAAAACUCUUGAAAUUACUAGAAACAUCAACCCUAUUUUAUUUCACAAAUUCCUAAGUCAUCCAAAAACAAUCUUGAUUUUGUAAUGCUCUUACAAAGUUAUAAAAACUCCAAAUCACCCAAAAUCAACACUCAUACAAAUCUUAUCCAUUUGCUAUUAAAUUCCAUUCUUUGAUUUAGAAAAGAACCCUAGAGCCAUCAUUGAGACUCGGUUUUGUGCCUCACAAUCUGAUUUCGAUCCUAGUUUAUAACCAGCCCUCUCCGAGUAUUAAUAUCUAGUUUUUCUAAGUAAAUUUUUUUAAAAUUUACUCUCAAUUUCCUUUUAAAGAUGCCUAUAUCAUUUAUUUUUUCAAUCUACUUUGUUUUGCCUUAUUUAUGGUCCUACAAAUUAAAUAGAAGUCACCUUUCUAAAAGGCAGCAUUGGUACCUUUUAGUUUUACUUCCCUUUUUACUAUUAACUAUAUUUCUAAGAUAAUUUGCUCUAAUAUUUUGAACUAAGAUCUCCUACAUUAUAAUAAUUUCUACACUCUUUCACCUAUUAGUCAUGUUAUAUCAUGACAACGUUCUUCUAAAAUCUUCUUCAAAUUGGUUGUUGCCUCAAUAUCCAAUUGUAAUUUAUAAGUAGGAGGCUUUGUUUGUUUGUUUGUUUGUUUGUUUUUUUUUUUUUUUACAAUUUACUUUUCUUUUAGAAAAAUAUUUUUUGUUGUCUCUUUAUGCAUAGGAUUCUUUUGUUGUUGUGCUUUUUCUCCCUUGGUUAUUUUUUUUGAUGGUCCUUUAUUAUUUUCAUCUUUCUUUUAUUUUUCUUCUAUUAAUGCUUCAUAUUGAUUCCUUGCAAUAUAUACAUGUACAGAUAGACUAUCAAUUAGAUCAUUCUAAUUAAUAGUUUUUUAAAUAGACUUAUCUAUAUUAAUUAAUACAUUUUUAGCAACCUUUCUAUUUGCUGCACACUUUAUUACAUUUGGCUACAAUGAACUUAUAUGAUCCAAUACUUUAAUGCUUAUGCUUCUACAAUCUUAAGUAAGUCCAAUCUUAUAUGUCUUUUCUUUCUUUUUAUGAAUCAUUAAUACAUUCAUAUUCCAUUGCCAAAAUUUAUCUCUAAUUUUUCUCUACAUUCUUUUAAGUAUAUCAUACCAUGUUUUAAAAAAAUAAUCUUUUUAUGUAGCGCCUCUAUAAAAUCCUCACAUUCUCUUUUUGAAUGAUCUAUACUAUCACACCAUAUACACCUAUGUAUUAUACCUUCUAUUGAUCCUAAUCUUUAUUUUGUUAAUACUCUUGAAUAUUGAUCCUUUUCUUCAAGUUUUCUAAAUUUUAUUUAUAAAUCUUUCAUCUCUCAUAUAAUUACAUUAAUGCCUAUUUAUUCUUUCUUUGUUAUAGCCAUUGAAGGUUGAAUCAUAGAUGUAGGAUUAAUAGUAGGUAUUUUUACUUGAGAUACUUGUAAUAGUCUUUGAAUAUCCAUCCUAUCAUUUUUUUUCUCUAUUUACAAGCAAUCCUACUUCAUCUUCUAUUCUCUCUAAUUUUUUUUCAAUCCUUCAUCUUCUUCUUUAUCUUCAAGUAAGAUUUCCAAUUUUUCUUAUAACUCUCUAUUGAUUGCUUGAAGAAAAAGCUACACUUUACUUGGAUCCAAUAAUUGUCUUUCUUUCAUUGAUAAAUAAGAAUAUUUCUUUUCAAACUAUGUUAACAAUUUGGUUAUUAAAAGAUAUUUUUUUGGCCUUUCAAUCUAUUCAAAUAAUUUCUUUAUAACCUUAUCACUAUCAUUUAAGAAAAACUUAUCCUUUAAUGCUUGAAAAUAUUUCUCCCAUGAACCUCCAAAAUAUCCCAUAAGAAACUUGUGUCAAGGACAAGAACUCGAUGAAAAAACAAUUCAAACAAGUGAGCAUUCACUCAAAGAGAGGUAACAAAAUAUAUAUAAACAAAUAUAUAUAUUGAAAGAGAAACUGGAAUGGCUAUUGCCAAAAGACAAGAAAACUAGAGACUCUUGAAACAGACUAGAAGCAAGAAAGGAGUUGACAAGAGUGAAGAAGCCUUCACUCUUGUCUCUAUAUAUACUAUCUAACUAAGAGCUAUGUGGCGACAUUCUAUAGGACCUCCAAUAUGUGUUGACUUUGUAGGGCACAUGCCUUGACUUACAAGGCAAGUUUUUCUACAUGUGGGCCACAUAGUUAGCUUGAUCUUUAAGCUAACAACAUGUGUGGCACAUGGCCAACUUGUUGACCACGUUUCUAAUUCAAAAAAUCAAUUAAAGACACCUAUGAAGUCAAAGCAGCGUCUAGGAAGUUUUUAGGAAGCUUUCAUAUUAAAUAUUAUAGAAUUAACUUACUUUUACCUAUUUUUAUUUACUUCUACCUAUUUCUAUAUGUAAUUAUUAGCUUACAUGAUUAUGGCCGUGACAACUUGAUUACUUAUCUAUAAUGCAAAGACUAAUUCAAAUAUAUGAACCAUCUCUGUGACUCAUCAAAUUAAUUCACUAGUUGUUUUAAGACAAAAGAAUGCAUGUAGAAUGCCAAAAUUACAAUUUUUAAGUGAAGAUGUGCUUAGAGGAUGUUAAAUGAAGGAAAAUAGUAUUAGUAGAGAAGAAAUAGAGUCUUAGUAAGUCUUGGAGGUAAUUAUCUUAGUUAGUUUAAUAUUUUUAAUUUAUUAUUGAAUAUUGAAGAAUAUUUAUUAAGGUCAUUAUUUAUAUUGGCCUUCAAUCUAUACAUAUUAUUUAUAAGAAAAAACUAUAAAUUUUAGUUAGUAAUUAAAAGAAGCAUGAAAAAGAACCUCAUAUCUUUUUAAUUAAUUAUAUAGAAAGUAGGAUUUAUUGUAGAUUUAAAUUGAUUUUAUUACUAUAAAAAUAAUCAAGAUAGGAAAUUAUAUUCUUAAAUUUAUAUUAAUAUUAUAGGAAUUAUAGAAUUUAUUUAGAAUUUAUUUAGAUUUUUUAAGGAAUUUUUAGAGUAAUUUCUAAGACUUUGGUAAAAAUGAGUUUUAUCACCUUGGGAGCCAUUAUGAAGAAAUGAAGCAAGAUUUGAAGGCCAUACUAGGUUUUUAGGCUAAAAAGAUAUUUUUAAAUACCAUUUUGAAGUCAAAAAUAUAAAAAAAUAAAUUUUAUUAGUAAAAAAUAGGAAGACCAAUAGCUAGUCUAGUCCUUACAUGAAGAAAAGUGUACAAAUUCCAUAUGGAUUGUAACACCUUGGGUAUAGGUACGAAGAUAAGUCUAAGGCCUCAAGGCCUCUUUAGACAACCAAUAUAUACUACUUGUGAGCCUUGGUGAGGCUCGAACUCUUGAUCUUUGAAAGCAAGUUAUCCUUGAGGUAAAAUUAUUUACUUAUUUUUUUUAUUUUUUUACUUGUUAUUUUUCAAACUUUCAUAACUUACUCAUAGUAAUUCGGAUUUACAUUUUUCUUAUAUCAUUGAAAAGACAAAAAAUUUAAAUUUCUAAAAAUAUAUUAUUUAUUUUUACUUUUUACUUUUUACUUUUUAUUGAAUGAAAACUCAAUGAACAGAUUAUGACUAGUUUUGUCGUGUAUAAUUGCUUGUUUGCACUUGUUCUACUUACUUUGUAUUUUACUUUUUUUUUUUUGUUCUUGCUACUCUCACUUCAUACCACCCAUUACAAGAAACUUUUUAUUGAGGCCAUCUUGUAAUUGGAUUAAAGAGUGAAUUUUACACUCACAAUCUUUUUUUUUGAAAUACUUUUCAAUUCCAUUUUUUUUAUAUAACAUCUUAAAUAUUUUGUUAUAUCCUUUCCUUCAAAUUGAUUGAUUAUGUCCACAAUCUCUUGUAAUACUUUGUUUGCCAUACCUUCUUUAUGAUCUUUAAUCUGUUGCUGUUGCAUAAAUAAGGCAAAAGCUUCAAAUAUGCUUGCGAAAUUGGAAUUGAAAUACAUACCUUGUCCUCUACUAGUUUUGCUACUUAUAGCUCUAAUUGAAGCACCAUCCAUAGCUCCUCUUUUAACUCUCUCAAAUUUCUUCUUCAUAAUUAAAAUAAUUCAAAAAACCAUAUACUAUCUACUUCAAGCCUUUUACAUUAAAUUCACCAAUUAUAUUGUAUUACCUAAAGUUUUUUUCAAGAAUGCACCAAGCACUUGGCUGUGGAAGGUAGAAUAGAAAUUAUAACAAUAAAAUCUUAAUUUUAAUAGAAUUCUAAAUAAAUUAUAAUUAAACCUUAAUAAUAUAUAAAUAAAAUUUAAUAAAAUUCAAAACAAAUCUUAAAGAAAUUAUAAAAAAAAAUAAGAGGAAAUUUUUAAAAAUUAAAAUAAUAUCCACAAUAAACCUUAAAAGAAUGCUUAAGAAAUCCUAAAAAGUACUAAAAUAAUUACAAAUAUAUCUUAAAUAAAUCUCAAUCAAUUUCUAAUAUAAUCCUAGUUGAAAUAUUAAGAGACUUCAAUCAAAUCCUAGACAAAUCCUUAAUCCUAAAUCAAACCAUAAAUCAAAGCCUAGACAAAUCUUCAAUCUUAAAUCAAAUCCUAAAUCAAAUCUUAGACAAAUCUUAAAUCCUAAAUCAAAUCCUAAAUCAAAUCCAAAACAAAUCUUAAAUCAAAUCCUAAAAAAAUUCUAAAUCCUAAAUCAAAUCAUAAAUCAAACUUUAGAUCUUAAACCAAAUCUUAUAUCAAAUUCUAAAAAAAUCUUAAAUUCUAAACCAAAUCUUAUAUCAAACCCUAGACAAAUCCUAAAUCUUAAACCAAAUCUUAAAUCAAAUCCUAGAUAAAUCCUAAACCUUAAAUCAAAUCUUAAAUCAAAUCCUACUCUAUAAAUUAAAUCCUAAAUCAAACUCUACACAAACCCUAAAUUCUAAAUCAAAUCCUAACUCAAAUCCUAGACAAAUCCUAAAGCCUAAACCAAAUCCUAGAUCAAACCUAAGCCUACUCAAUCUUAUUCUAGCAUAGUUUAGAAUCUUAAUAUCUAUCAACUAAACCAUUGAUUUUGCAUAAAAUUUUACAAACCUUUCAACAACUAAGUUGGCAAUAAGUACACAAAAAUUGAAAAUAAUUGUACAUACCAAAUAGAAGAAAAAUCCUAAAAUUUUCUUAGGUAUUGGUUGGCCUUCUACUCCAAUCUGAAUGUUGAACUUCCAGCACCAAUAUCUCCUUAUUGAACCAUUUAAUUUUUUAAAAAUUUCACAUGUGUAUAGUAAAUCAAGUCUUUUACGUCUAAACAUAAUUUUUAUUCUAAUCCAAUCAGUAGAUUAUUGAAGAUCUUAGAUAUCUUAAGUGCCUCUUAAAAUUUAAUUACCAAAAUCUUAACCUACUUGAAAUUCAAUAGCCUUCAAUUCAACCUUUUGAUCAAGCUCAAACUUAUAACAUAAACUUCAAACAACUAUUCUUAUGAGUCUUCAAAAUGUGAACUAUAGAUCUUCUAUCAAACUCACAAAAUUCUCUAAAACUUAAUAUCUUUUUUAUUUCACAAAUUCUAAAGUCACUCAAAAUAAUUGUGACUUUGCAAAGCUCUUGCAAAGUUAUUAAACACUUAAUUCUAUUCAAAUUAAUAUUAAAAAAAUCUUAUUUAAUUUGCUCUCAAAUUCCAUUUUUUAAUCUACCAAAGAAUCUUUGAGUUGCCAUUCAUACCUGGUUUUGUACCUUGGGGUCUAAUUUCAGCCUAGGUUGAUAAUAAAUCCUUUUUGGAUAGUAAUUUUUUUUUGAGUUAAUUUUUAUUUAAAUAAAUUCCUAAUUUCUUCCUAUAUAUGUUCAUAUUCUUUACUUUUCUAAUCUACCUUGUUUUAUCUUAUUUAUGGCCUUACAAUAUAAAUAAAAGUCUAAUUUAUAAAAAGAUAACAUUUAAAGCUUUAGUUCUAUUUUCUUUUGGACUAUUGUCUAUUUUUAAAAAUAAUUUGAUAUAAUAUUUGAAGUAAAAUCUUCUAUAAUAUAAUAGAUUCUUAACUUCUUUCACUUAAGAGUUCUAUUAUAUCAUGACAUCAUGUAUUGUAAAAACUUAUAGAUACAAGAUUAUAUGUGAAAUAUAAAAAGUGUGAAUUCCACACUACUCAAGUUGAUUUCAUAGGAUACAUCAUUUCUAAUAAAGGGCUAAUAAUGAAUCUGUAGAAGGUCUUUACUAUCAUGGAUUGAGAGACUCUAAAAAUCGUAUGAAAAAUGCAAUGCUUUUUGAUCUUUGUAAAUUACUAUUGGAUCUUCUUUAAGAAUUUUUCUUAAGUUGCAACUUCACUUAUACGUUUGACUUGUAAAGACAUUGUUAAUGGAAUAAAGAAGCCAAAUCAUUAUUUGAUGCUUUAAAAAAAGAGUUUAUUUUUGUAUUAAUCUUAUAUCAUGUUGACUUCUCCAAGCCAUUUUUUAUGGAAAUUAAUACAUCAGACUUUGUCUUAAUUGGAGUAUUAUCAUAAAUGGAAAUACAUGACAAAAUCUAUUUAGUAGCUUUCUAUUCCAAAAUAUUUUUAACAACCGAUAUUAAUUAUGAAAUCCACAAUAAAGAAAUUCUUAUAAUUAUAGAUUCAUUUUAAGAAUGGAAUCGUUAUUAAGAAGGUGCAUAAAGUCUAGUUAUUAUAUAUGCAGAUCACAAGAACUUCAAGUAUUUCAUGUCAGCACAUAUUUUAAAUUGUCACUAAGUUCUUGUAGCAUGUUUUUAUCAAGAUUUGAUUUCAAAAUCAUUAUCGAUCCAAAAAACAAGAAGGUUUGUUAGACACCCUUUCUAGAUGUUCUUAUCUUAUACCAAAAGAAAGAGAUGUAUCUUUUGAUUAACAAAGAAUGAUUCUUUUGAAGCCAAAAUAUUUUCACCUUUAAGCAACUAAAUCAACAUUGACUAUUGAUUCAACAUUUGUCAAGCAAAUUCAAUUAAGUAUGUCAUCUAAUUCUCUUGUCCAUGAUAUGAAGAAUAAUUCUUCUAAGUCUCAUGAUACUUCUAAAUUCAAGUUCAAAAACAACCUAUUCUAUUUUGAGGGAUGAUUAUACAUUUCAGAAGGUAGGACAUGAAUUCAUAUUCUUCAAACUCAUCAUGAUUUUUCAGUAGCUAGAUAUUUUAGAUACAAUAAGAUUAUGGAGUUAAUAUUGAGAUAUUUUUGGUGGUCUCAAAUGUGGUUGUUUCUAUGGAUUUUAUUAUAGAUCUUCUAAUCUCAUAUUUGUAUGAUUCUUUAUUCAUGGUAGUAGAUCAUUUUAUUAAAGUGGCACAUUUUGUACCAUAUACAAAAUCUAUCAGAGGUGACGCAAUGGCUAUGUUUUUUCUUAAUCUAUGAUAGCAAUCUAUUGCUAUCAUAGAUUGUCUAAAGAUAUUAUAUCAAAUAAGAAGACUCAAUUUAUAUCAAGAUUUUGGAAAAUUCUUUUUAAGAUUUUAAAGGUAGAUAUAAAGCUUUUUUCAACUUUUCAUCCUCAAAUUCAUAGACAAAUGUAAUGUAUGAAUCAAGUUUUGAAAUAGUACUUGAGGUAUACCAUCAACUAUCAUCAAGAUGAUUGUACAACUCUUUUACCAUUGAUAAAGUUUGUGUACAAUAAUUUGGUACAUUCUUCUACUCAACAAAUACCUUACUUUCCCAACUAUAGUUAUCAUCUACAACUUGAUAUUUUUGACUUUUUAAAAGUUGAUAAUCUUGCAACAAAAGAUUUGAUAAAUCAUUUCUCAAAGCUACAUAUAACAAUGAAGGCAUAGUUAAAAGGAGCUCAAGAACAACAAAAAAUUAAUGCAUAUGCUUAUUGCAAGGAAUAACCAUAAUUUAAUGUAGGUGACAAGGAAUGGUUACUUCGUUGCAAUAUCAAGACUACUUAAUGUAGGUGACAAGUUGGACUAUUGUAGGCUCAAAAUUUUUUUUAUUAGAAAAUAAAUCAAUCAUGUUACUCAUUGACUUUAUCUACUAUAACCUAUGAAGAUCCAUCUUAUAUUUCACGUAUCUUUUUUUGCACUAUAUAAGAUAAUGAAUAUCUUGAGAAGAAAACAAAUGCCACCUCGUCUUAUAGAUUGGAUAAUAACAAGAGUUCAAGUUAGAAAAGUCCUAGAUUCAAGGUGGUGCCAAAACAGAUUAAAAUAUCUUGUUCAUUGGUAUGGAUAUGAUAUUAGUAAACAAACAUGAAAGUUAACAAAGAAUCUUGUGAAUGGAGUAAAGAGAGUUGAAGCUUUUCAUCAACUACAUCUAUCAAAAUCAAGAUGAAGAAUAGAAAAUCUUUGCUAUUAAAGAAAUAAGAUUAAAUGAAGAUAAUAGUUUACUUUUUAUUUGUCUUUGUAGCUUUUGUGUAUUUGUGAUGCUAAGGAAAUGGAGAACAAACAAACAACAGAUUUAACUUAAGAGCUUUUAUUUGUGGACUUAUUGGUGUUGUACUGUAAUUACUUAUAAUAUAUAAAAAUUAAUUAGAACAUAUAAUAUGUUCAUAAAUCUUGGUGUGUAUUAGAAUGAUUAAUAGAUUAAUUUAAAGAAAGUGGAUAUAAGAAACUUUUUUUUGAAUUUUAUUUAUUUUGAUUUGGCAUUCAAAAAAAUAUAGGACCUAAAUAUUUAGUAUGAAGCCUUGGGAGAAGAUAGAAGCCUAAGGAUGAAAAUCUAAACUAGUAGGAGGCUAAUUAGGAGGGAUGAAAAUAAGGCAUGGUCAGAUGAAGACAAGGAAUGGAAAAUUUCAUCCCUAUUGGUUAAAUACCAUACCUAAUGGACUUUGAAGAGGCUUCCUGUGACCAUAACAAGGAUUUUCAGAAACUUCAAAGAAAGCAUUCGGAAAUUAAAAGCCAAGAUUAUAAAUUUUAGGAUUUUGAUUAAAAUUUGGGUACAAAAAUUAAAGAAUUUGGAAUUAGGAUGAAGAAGUUAUAGCCAUUUGAAAUUAAGAUGUUAAUUUAAGACAUAUUGUUACUCUUUUGAAGAUACGAGUUGUUAUACAAUAGCUUUUGAAGAUCAAAAAGUAUAGCUGAUAUGAUGAUUUCAAGGCCUAUAUUUUUCAUAAAAGAAUUAUUGCUUUUAGAGUUCAUGUGAAGGAGUUCUAGGGAGUUGAAGGCGACGCUUCUAAAUCAAAGGUAGUAAGUGAGCGGUUUUGUUUAUAGUAAUGGUUGGAGCCAUAACAUGAGUUUUCAGACGAAUUUUAGCCUCAAAAUUUUUAGAAAAUAUAAUAUUUUGUAUUAAGAAGCUAUAUAUACAUAUAUAUAUAUAUAUAUAUAUAAUUCUUGGGAUUUGAGCUUAUAUUUUGUGAGAUAUGAAGAAAAUUGCAUGUAGGUGUAUAAAGUCAUGGGUUUUAAGUGACUAUUAGGAUUUUCAAGUUAUCUAAAGAUUUGCAACAAAUUUGUAAUUGAAAUUUAUUAUGAAAGUUAAUAAGAGUACAUCAGUACUUCAUAUCAAUUUUGAGUUUAUUUGGAUAGUCAGAUUAGGAGAUAUGAAGUAUUGAAGUUUGGAAAAAUUUCCACAUAAGGAUAUACAAGGUUUUAGAGGAUUUUAUCAUAUUUUGGAUGUUGUUGGUUACUUGAGACUUAUGUAUUUGGUAUAAUUGCUUAAAAAAGAAAUUUUUAUAUAUAAACUUAAGACUUUCCUUAUUUUAAAUUUUAAUUGAACAAAUAGUGAUAGCUAGAAGCCUAGCAUUUUCUUGAAGCAAAUUCUCUUUAUCCUAACAAAAUGUUGGGAUUGUCACAACUUUUAAGACGGUAAAAUCAAGAUGAAGAUACAUGUUUUACAUAUUUACAAAAAUAUUUGGAUGUAACUAUAAUUAACUCUAGAUGCCAAAGACUUUAGAUAUUUAUAUUCUAUUAUUAUUUGAUUUAUUUUGUAUUAAAAUAAUAUAUAAUUUUGAGUAAGUUUUAAAAAUUAAAAGUAACUAUUAUAUAUAUAUAUAUAUAUAUAUAUAGAUAUAAUUUUUUUUCCUCGUAAAUAAUCAAAUGUAUUAAUUUUUUAAAUAUAUAAGGGAAAAAAUCUAGAAUCUAAAAUUAUUCUAUGAUGGAUAAAUUUCAUUCAUCUUCCAUGAAAUAAGUGAUACUUACUUUUCUGUUUGUGCAACUUAUUUGAUUUAGUGCCCAUGUGGACUUGUUUGAGUGCUUUAGUACCUUGGCUUAAUCCUUAACAAGAUCUCACCACAUUCUAGUACCUUAAUCUUAGCAGAUGUUGCUAAAAUUUAAUAAUAAUAAAAAAUAAAAAGUCAAAAAAUAAAAUUAUAUUCAUUUAAAUAAAAUAUCAAAUUUUAAAAAAUAUAAGUGACAAUUUUAAAAUAAAAUAUUGUAUGAUGUUCAAUAUUUUUAUUUAAAAAAAUAAAUAUAUUCAAAAUAUAUAAAAAAUAAAAUAUAAAAUACUUUAUAAGUUAACAAGUUAUAUAAACCUCUGGUCAAGAAAUUAAUACAAAAAAUAUUAUAAAUAUAUAUACAUAUAUAUAUAUAUAUAUAUAUAUAUAUAUAGCUUAUGAUUAUAAAACAAAUAUGUAUAUAUAUAUAUGUAUAUAUAUAUAUAUAUAUAUAUAUAUAUAUUUUAUUAUAUUACAAUAUGCAUAAGUUAUAAAAAUAGAUUAAAAAUCUCAUAUCUAGAUUUGAAAUCUUAAUACAUUUAAAAUUUCUUUCUAAAAUUUUCAAAUAAAAUUUUAUUCUAAAAUAUAUUUAAGAAAGGGUUUUGAAUUUUUUUUUUAAAAAAUACUUUUGAUAAUUAUUUAAUUUAUCUGAAACAUAUAUUUUUUAUUUUUUCAUCUUUCAAGUAUUUAAAUAUUAUACUAAGAAAAAAAAUAAAAUUUGUGACAAGAAUACAUAUAUAUGUAUAUAUAUAUAUAUAAUCUAAUUCUGAAAGAACUCAACUACAUCUUUUUUAAAAUGUUAAUUUUUUAGGUUGGAGUUUUAAUUUACAUUAAAAGGCAUACUAUACCUACCAACCAAAGAUUUAACUUACAAAUGUGAUUGAGUAAUUAUACCAAAAAUGCAUAACUAUCAGCAAAUUUAAACAUCCACAAACAUCCAAUAAAAUCCAAAAACCUUGUAUAUUGAGAAAACAGCCAACAUUAUUUAAAGUAUUAGAAACCAGUAAUAUUUUGAAAUAACAUAAAUUAAUUCAAAAUCAUAUCAAAAAAAUAGAAGUAGAAGAAUAUCUUUUCUUACAAUGUUCUCUUUAAAAUACUAGUAACAUUACACUAUGAAAAUACUGAAGCCAAAACUUCUGUUACAGAAGGAAUAAAAUACUCUUCAAUUUCUUCAUAUUAUAUUUUUGAAAUAUAUAAUUUGUUGCAUUUCAUUAGAGACCUUAUAAUUUAAAUUUUUAUAUCUAAAAUUUUAUUUAUCUAUUUAUUUAAAUUCUUUAAUACAUAUAAAAUAGAUAAAUAUAUUUAUGCAGUGAAUCAAACAAGCUUGAAUAAAUUCAUUUCUACACCAUAGUGGAGUUUUUUUUAAUGAUAAUAUAAAUUAAGCAAAUAAAACUAAUUCAGUUAAUUUAUCUUAUAAUGUUUGUUUCUUGAAAAAUCUUUGACAUAUUCCUAAGGCAUUUUAGUUUUUAUAAUUUCUGUAAUUAAAGAUGCAUGUGCACGUUGUCUAUUUUCUAAUCUAAAGUAAAAAAUAUUCAAUUUCAAGCAUAUAACUUAUUAAUUAUAAUAAAUUCAAAUAAAAAACAAAAGUGAUGCAUUAAUUAGACACUACUUUUACAUUUAAUUAAAAUAUAUGAAAUUAGUGAUGUGAAACUAUUGUUUAUAUUUGGCACUAGAAUUUGAAACAGUUGGGAUGUUUAGUGUAGAAAGUUUAUAUAUUUGCAAUCCAAUAUUGAUUUUAAUCAGUUUUUAAACAGACUUAUAUACAAUAAAAAAUUAUCACAAACAUCAAAAGUUUUUAGAAUUCCAACUUAAUAUGCAUUUGUUAAAUAUCUACAUAUAUUUGAUUACAUUGGUGUCAAGAAAAUCAAAGAAGAAAGAAAUAAAAAAGUUUAGAAAUUAAAUUUCUUCCAAAUAUUAUAAUAAAAUUUUAAUAUAAAAGAUAAAUACAUCAAUAUAUAUAUAUAUAUAUAUAUAUAUAUAUAUAUAUAUUUCUUAAAUCCUAUUUUUUAGCAUUUAAAUUUUAAAAAUAAUUUUACAUUAAAUAUGACUACUUAUAUAAAAAUAUAUUAUCCUUAUCAUUAUUUGAAGAAUUAUUUUAGAUGUAUUAUUGCAAAAGUAACAUCUUGUUAAUUUUGUUAUAACUUAGACAAGUUUCUUAAUUUUUUUUUUUUAUCUAGAUUAAAUCCAAUUCUCAUUUAGAUUCUUAUUUUAAGAUGAUUUUGUUUAAAAUUAUCCAGUCAAAUAAUGUUUCUAUCAAAUAUAGUUUUUAAGAGAAUUGUUUUCUUUGGUUUCUUAAAUAUUGUCGUAAUUGUAUCUGUGCUUAUACUAAAUUCUUUAUUUUAGGUUAAAAAUUAAUAAGAUACAUAUUUUUUAAUUUUUAAUUUUAAAAAGUAUAAUAUAAAUUUUGUGACGAUCGGCUUUUCAACAAGCUUGUACAUACGGUAUCAAUUCAAGAAUACAAUAUCAACUUCUAACAUUAAAAAAUAAAAUUUUAAUGUAUAAUUAAAAAAAUAUUUGUUUUAAAAUUUAUAUAACUUAAAACUAAAAGAGAAAUUUUGGUAUUAAUAUUUUUAAAAAGUAAACAUUGCAUUAUUAUCAAAUAUGAGAUUUAUCUCCAAAUAGAUAGAAAGGGUAAUCAAGUAAAUCAAAUCUUAAAUUAUUUAAGUUCUAACUAAAAAAAAAAAAUUAAUGUGUUAAAAAAUAAUAAAAAGUUAAAUUUGAUAACAUGUUUAACAAUCAAGAAAAAAAAUUCAAGAAAUUUAUUAAAAGUGUCAUUUUAAUCCUUUUACAAGAUUUAAACAUAUUCAACAGAAAAAAGUAUUUUAUUUGAUUUUUUAUAAUAUUUUUAUUUUUUUAAUUUAAUAAAUUAUAUUAAAAAUAAUUUUCUAGAAAUAAUAAAUGCAUAUGUAAAGUGAAAUGUAAAGUGGGUCAAAAAGUAUUUUGAGUGCAAUACUCUAUAUGCCAUAAGAUCCAAUAACAAAAUAUAUGUCAAAGUUUUAUUUUUUAUUAUGGAAUUUUUUUAAAAAAUUAAAAAUCACUUUUAAGUUGAAUUUACAAUUGAAAUAUAAGAUGUCUCUAAAAUCUUUUGUUUUUGCUGUUUUUAUUAUAAUACACACUUUUGAAAAGCCUUUUGUAGGAUGACAACAUGACUAAAAAGAAAUCAAUAUGAUUCUUAUUAUAAAACAUAAAGAAAUCAAUUAGUCAACUACACUUUAAAAAAUAUUUUUUUGAUAAAAGAUAAGAUUGACAUUGGUAAAAGACAUUGAUUUCUAUAUAAGAGAGAUCUAAGCAUCCAGAGGAAAAAUACCAGCUCAAGAAGAAGAAGUUGAAACAAAUAAAAAUAAUUAAAAAAGAAAAACACACACUCACACACACAUUUAGUCAAAUUUAGAUAAUUAUUUUUACUAUGUUCUCAACAACAGUAGCAAUAAAAAAAAAUAAAAAAAUAAAAAAAUAAAAGAAAACUCCGUCAACUUUAUUCACGUCGUUUUACAAAUUUAUUAUUAUUAUUAUUAUUAUUUUGGUUUAAAUGAGUGGCGUAGUGAAGUUCCGAACAUCAUAUUAAUCCACGUCUGAUUUUUACACGCCGAUUACAAUUUGAGGAGGCCACAAGUAAACCUCCACAUCGCAUGACCUGUACAGAGGCUUGAUUGCGGAUCAUUCAUACCAUUAACACAAAACCACACUGUAACGCCAUAAUAAAUCCAGUUCAGAAACAUCGAACAAUGAUUCGUCGACUGUGAUUACACUACGAACUUUGAACUACGAUUCCUCUCUAUCUAUGCUGAUUCAGCCAAGAAAAAACUGCACAAUACAAGCCACCGUUUGAAGUCACACUGUAACCUAUUCAAUCGUAUAUAAAAAAAAUACAAUAUAAAAUAAAAUAAAAAAUUGAGUAAAGAGUAAGCUGGGUAACGUGGCAUUCAAGUGAGUUGGAAGAAUAACACAAGCUGGGGCUGUUCCGGGCUGUGGAGGGAAGACAAAAUUUGGUAAUUCUGGACAGUUAUGAAAAAGUGACAUCGCUGAUGCUGCAGGACGAUGAUGAUUCAUGACACCGCGAGGUUUGAAGUCAAAAGAAGCACAAAAGGUAUGUGAGGACGAGGGACACCUCCCAUUUGUCAUGUCUAAGUUGUCCACCCAUUCAUCGUCCAAGACAUCCAACAGCCCUUCAAUAAGGAAAGAGAAUUCUAGGGGGCUUUGUUUCUCGCACGACUUCCCCUGAAAGCCUUUGCGCUUGCAAAGUCAUAACCCAAAAUUUAGUAAAAUCGUGUGGUCAUCGGCGCUUUGGAGUAAGAUGAGAGUUUCAUUGACAUAAUCGAAACUCCCGAGUAGAGUUCUUGUGAAGGAUGAAACUAACCACAGUUGACACCCGUUGCCUGAUCGAGUCAAGGCUUGGAGAGACGCUGAAAUUUGAUUGGAUUCCUCCCCGCCAGGAAUGCAGUUGAAGUGCAGAAGUUUAAUUGUCUACAAUUAAGUUGUAAAGAUUACAACACCCUACGUUUUUUUACCAGGGCGAGCAGUAAUUGUUUCGUGUACGCAAGUGCAAAUGCGAGAAAAUUGAUAAGAUAUACUGGGUGGCUGGAGCCAGGUGCUCAUUGGUGGCGGUUAUAUGGGAGCUCGACGGUUCCUCGCAGUGGAUCACUCAGUACGAAUGAUAACGUUAAAGGCAUAGGCCCGAAUCAAUGAUGCGAUAGCCCCUCCUACGACCUCUUCCGAUGCCACUGAAAUGCAAUGAAAUAUAUGACAACGACACAAUUGUCAAAAGCUACGAAGCCAUUUGCCGAUUGUGACCGCGAUGUCAACAAAUUCUCCCCUGGGGCUGCCGAAAAUGAAAAGUUUGGGCGGAGGAUGCGACUCUGCGAGUUCUCGACAAGGGUCAAUACCGAGAACAAGUACAGCCACUGUGCAAAUUCAAAUUGUAAAGUUGUUAAUCGCACCACAAAAUGAGUUUGACAUUGACUUCGUUUCGAAAGGACCUUGUGUCAACAGAUAACACUUGGUUAGCAUGCUUUCGCUACCAGACUUAGAGGAGCGCGCUUUGUCGAAAGGAGUCGAAAAAGGCAGGGUAUUAAGCCCCUACACGCCCACGCGACGCGCAGCUCCGCUAGUGGAGCGAAUGAACAACGACCGUGUUUAUCCAUGCGGUUCGCACUUUUGACGAUCAAUCACGCAAUAUUCAAUCUGGGGAAAGACUUCAAGCCAAGACAGAGAGGGCACUGAUGGCAAAAUCCUGUCUCAUCUCAGAUAACGGCAUCAUGGUAAUCAACCCGAGCGACUGAUUUCAUAUACCAGAACUGUGCAGCAUGGUCCGCGUGAGUGACGGUACGUGAUCCCGAGAUGGUUCGACCACUGAAGACUGAUAACGUGACCGAUUUGGCUUAGAUUGCCUACACGAGUGUUCACCGAAGUCACAGUGUCUCGAUAAGGGGCAUGGAUCCUCACCAGGACCGAGACCCACAUCCGAGUUGCAUGGAAGCAGUGCCACAUCGAACAGACGACAAUGAUGAGAAUUUGAACUUCGCGAAAGGAAGACUGAGGGUCGAAUAGUCCAGGUUAUAAAGAGCAAAGUGACGGCCCGCUUUGCUGACAUCGAAGCUCCGUAUCUACCUCUCUCUGGACAUGAUUGGGCUCCGCGUCGCCUUCGUCGCCACCACAAGCAUUCACCGACAGUGGGUUGUUUCCGCUUCUUCUAGCUCCCUUUUUGUCCCACACCCAGUUGUUCCACAUGACAACUCCAUCGCCAGCAUGUGGGUUUAUCAAUCACUAGUUUUUUUUUUUUUUUUUUUUUUUUUUAAAUGUAGUAGUGGGUGUUAAAUGAGGGAAAUUGGUAGUAGAAUUGCUCUUCUGGACAAUAUGAUAAAGUUGUAUUCUUUUUUUUGCAAAGAUGUUUUUGGUACGUUUGUGGUAAAAUUUCAUUUUUAUAUUUUAUUUAUUUUUUCAUAAUACAUCUACACAGUACUACUUUGAAUAUCACUUGAGUGUUUUUCUUCAGUGUUUCCCUGAGCAAUGAAUAACUUUGAAACAAAUUGUUGUUAAAAUCCUACACCUUAAGUUAAUUAACUUCUCUUUUAAUGUUUCAGUAGUUUAAUGGGAAGAUGUAUGAAGGAAACCAUGAUGAUGGGAGGAAAAAUAAAUAUAUACCAUUAACAUUGCGCUAAUUUUAAUUCCCACAAAAUUCAUAUUUAGUUGAUCAUCCUACGAGCCCACGUCCACGUAUCCUUCAACUAAACAAUCGAAUGGAACUUUCAUCUCUCUACUCAACAAACCAAGUCGAAAUUGAGAUUCUUUGGACCUAAUGAUGAAGAUGUGCCAAAAACCCAAUUUUCACUAAUCGUUCAGUGUGUGUAACCAGCUUAUAGAACUUCAGCUUUUCUUACCCCCACAAAAUAUUUGUUUUUCUUUCAGGAUUCGUCUGAUUCCACAGGUCAUCUCGAAGUGGGAUACUGUAGUACAGGCGCCGGUUUUAGGGUGGUAACGUACGCCGACAACCGUGGCGCACGACCACAGGCAACCGAGCCGAUCUUUUAAGGCGCUUUCGUUGACAAUGUGAGUCUCGCCGACGUCUUUUCCGAGGUCAAGCACCUGGAGGGGCCUCACAGUUGAAAUCUCAGGUACCUCAAGCCGGAGUUCCGCAGCGGUCUACGAUACAUAUAUGGAGAGCUGAUAAACUGCAAAGCCACGCCUCACUCGUCAUUUUCGGGACCGCUGAAGCAGCCCAAGUCGUUGCGCUUGUCAACGAGUUCCUCUGCGAGGACUAGGUCCUUGUCGGACAUUCCUGUCACUGGUAACUACACUCGUGAUCCGGCUGUAUUGCUGUAGACUUUGGAUUUGGCGCAGUGGUGAUUAGAUGCUUCGUGGGUGAUGUACUUGGACAUGUACAUGAUUGACUGUGCUGGCUUGAGGAGUUAGAGACAUGAGGGAAGUUUAUGCGGAGCGUGGUUUCGAGAUGGGUGGACUUGUGUUGGCUAGGAAUUUCGGGGUCGUGACAUGGGGUUCGAUUCUUGCGAUGUUGAUAGUGAAUGUAGUCACUGCGGUCCCACUUCCUCCGCCGGACGUUGCAGAGUAUUGUAACAGCGAGGAGCGGUGCUGCAUGCCGCGCCCUUACGUGGGUCAACCUGCACACCAAUUCUACCCGGACCCUGAGCUCCCCAUCAGGAUCCGGCGCCCCGUGCACUUGCUCACCGAUGCCGAAGUGGCCAGACUCGAGAGGGCUUAUCAACUACAAAAAGACCUUCCGGAUUCUGAUCCUCGAUCAUUCACCAACCAAGCGAAGCUUCACUGCCUGUACUGCGACAGCGGAAUCUACUACCCCGACAACCCCUGGCCGCUUGAGAUUCACAACGGCUGGUUCUUCUUCCCAUGGCACCGGAUGUUCCUGUACUUUCAUGAGCGUAUUCUGGCCAAGCUGCUGGACGAUGACACCUUUGCACUUCCGUUCUGGAAUUGGGACAAUCAAACACCGGAGGAGCCAUACGCUAAUGUCUUGCCGAUUUCUUAUGCAAAAUCAGGCUCUCCCCUCUGGAACCAGCAGCGCAAUAAAUGUGCAGAACCACCCUUGAUAAUUGAUUUGAACACAAUUGGAGGGUGCACGGCCAAGUCUCCUUCGGUGUUACGAACGGAGAACGACCGGAUCAUGUAUACGCAGGUGGUGUCGGGGGCUAUGUCGCCACAGCUCUUCUACGGGAUGCCGUAUAGGUAUGGCGAUGCGGGAGGACACGGGCCGGGGACGUUCGAGGAUAAUCCCCACGGAACAGUCCAUCUUUGGGUUGGGAAUCCAGAUUCGGAGUCCGGCAUGUUCGACGACAUGGGUAACUUUGGCAGAGCUGCAAGGGACCCCAUUUUUUACGCGCACCACUCUAACGUUGACAGAAUUUGGACUGUGUGGAAUACCCUUCCAGGAGAGCAGCGGAAAGCGCCUGUCGAUCCAGAUUUUCUCGACGCGAGGUUUACAUUUUUCGACGAAAACGGUGACUUGAUAAUCGUGAACGUUUCCCAGACGCUCGACAACGAGCUACUACGGUUCAGAUACGAGCAGAUGCCCACCGGAUGGGUUACGAACGGACAAUUACCAGGCGAGGAGAACAGCGUCCCUCUCUGCUACCGCGGAAAUCCUACCAAAACGAGGAAAUUGAUCGCCGACACUCCCUACUUCAAGCCAUCGAUGGUACUGCACACGGUACCGCUCACCUUCAAGGUGCAACGUCCCCGAAGACGUCCGGAGGUGGGCGUCGAGGUGCUAGAACUAUCUGGACUCUCGUUAAUCCCCGCGCUCCAGGCUCACUGGGAGGCUUUUCUCUUCCUCCCGAAUGGAAAUAACAAAACCACCGUGAGCUGUCCGGAGUUCAUCGGCACCUUCAACUACGUCGCGCACGUUGGCCAGGCGCUUUUCAACCGUGAGCGGAGGUGGCGUGUGGCAUUGGGACCGAAAAUCAUGGCGCUGGGCAAGGAGAACUACACAGAUGUGGUGAUCACUCUUGCGCAGUUCGGUCCCAACAUCCAGCCGAUUACAUUCGAGAGGGCUGUAGUUGUUUUCGACACAGACGGGGUUGAGUAAGACGUUUGUCGAUUGAUUCUCUACCGACUCUCUAGCUUGCAGCAGAUUAUUACAUGAUGAUCACGACGCCGAUGAAUUGGCUUAGACACUGGUGAUGGGAUCUGGUUAUCUGGAUCAUUGUUCCCAGUAAUCGUUGCAUGUUAGGAGUAGUAUGAUAGGAGUGUUUCGUAGUUGCAUUGCUUAGGCACCUAGUUGCAUGUUAGGAGUAGUAUGAUAGGAGUGUUUCGUAGUUGCAUUGCUUAGGCACCUAGUUGCAUUCAAGUAGAUUCAUUGAAUUGGAGCUCAAAGAGAAAAAAAAGGUGGAAACCGUCUCGCGAUGUUUUAAAAUCCCCCAACAAUAAAAAAAUCGCUUUGUCUUUGACUUCCAUAUGUGGCUCAGCAGGGGGUGCCUAGUGUCAGUACAAUCCAACAUGAACUAUUGUAAGAUCUUAAUUCCAUGAUGGAGUUGAUGAAAAAGGUGACAGCAUCCAACCCACACGCUCUCAAGUAACCGAUACCCUUGUCGAAUGUACGAUAAGCCCAUGUGCCGCAAAAUUCUACACAUGGAACACUAAUUUCAAAAGCAGACGGAAAGCGGUGCCACAAAAGCAUGGACCUCGCCCCAAAGCUUCACCACCAGAGUAAUAAAAAAGCAAGGUCCCGGUGGUUGAACCACCUUCCCAAUAGAAAAACAACAGAUGCAGACCCCUACCUCCCUGCCCAGGCCCCGCAACUCUUCCACAAACAGUAUCAAUUCAUAGAGGGGGGGUGUUGUCCAUUGAUUUGUGUGAUGAAUCUGAGAACUGAACCACCCUUCCCAGUAACGACCCCCUUCAACGUCUAGAAGCAAGGACUUCUCGGCGUUGACCCCCGCCGAGGUCAACGCCGAAGAAGUCCAAAAACCAACUUCCGAUGCUUGAAUCUGCACACCCCAAGUCAACUAGAAUCCAAAAAAACUGAGUUCUAUCGCUCUUCAUGCUGCAGUUUAUUGGCUCUUUCUGUUCUUUUUGGAGCUCAAAGUGGUCGAGUCCAUAGUAGUGUGUGUUAGUUGAAUGUGUACAGUUUGAGAAUUUUGAGGUUUCUUAUCUCUCUCUCUCUUUCUUCUUUCUUCUUUUCUUUUUCUUUAUUUUGUUUAUUUUUUCUUCUUUUCAAGGACUAUUUGAGUUUUUAGUAUGAUUAUGGAACUUUUUCUUUUUUGUAUUGAAAAGAUUCGAAAUUUCUAUAUAUGUAAUAGUAAUUGUUACAUGUUGUGUAAGGAGAAUCAAAUUGGACAUCUUUUUAUUUCACUUUCCAAAGUCAUAAGAAUAUCUUGUGAGGUUCUUAAUAUAUAUAAAAGUAAAACUCAAGUAUUAGAGUUACAUAAUUUGUGGAUAUUGCCUAAGCUUCUAUUUAUAUUAGUUAAUUGUGGUUGGAGUGUUUAAAUGCAUAAGUAGAGAAUUUGGCCAAAUUUUGAAUUCUUGGAUCAAUGGACAUUUGUCCACACAUGAUAUUUUUGCAAAAAUAAAAAUAAAAAUUAUCAAGCCAUGUUUGAAAAGAGGUAAUUCUUUUAUUAUAUUUAAAAAAAUAAUAAAUAAUAAUAAUAAAUUAAAUAAUAAAAAUAUAAUAAUCUAAAUUUUAAAAAUAAUUAAAUCUUAAAAUAGUAUAUCUCUCUUAUUUUUUUAUUGUAAAUAAAAAAAAUUAAAGAGAAUAAAUAAUUAAAUUAUACAAGCAUACAAAUAUAAUAUAUUAAAGACAUUCUAUACCUUUAUAAUAAGAAUUUAAUUUAUACCAUUAAUUUUUACCUAAAUUAAAAUUAAAUAAGUCAAAAUCCAUAUUAGAAGUAUUUUUUAAUAAAAUAAAUCUUUAGAAUUUGGUAUCUUAAUAUUUUAUUUUUAAUAUACAAUACAAAUAAUAUAAGUGUCAUAGAUAUACAUAAAUAUUCUAAUAAAUAUCUAUACGAUUAGAUAGAAGUAGGUAUAAAUAAAUAAAAGUAAGUUAAUUUUAUAAUACCUUCUAAAAAAGCUUCCUAGAAGCUUCAUAUAUAUUGAAGAAACACAAUAAGCAAGACACAAGUAAGUAGAAAACAUCAAGGUUAGACACAAGAGAAGUGUGUAAUAAGAUGCCUCUCACUUCCAACACUCUUUACUUAUAGGUAGAGGUUACAUCCAUUUUGGCUAGCAUUCAUCUUACUUUCAUCCAACUAAACUCUAAAUUCCUCUUAACCUAGCUGCCACUUUAAAUCUUAGCUGCCACGUUGGUAACUUUCUUUCAUCCUUUUGUUGCCCUUUGACCAUUAGCAACUUAUCUAAGAUAAUAUCUUUUACCUUCUAACUUAUCCUCUAUUUACUUUAACACUCCCACUUUGCUAUUGGUCAAAGGCUAAUAAACCUAAUUCCUUUGUCAAUUUUUAAUGUCUAUCUUUUACCAAUGCUUUUGUGAGCAAAUCAGCAAGCAUGUCUUCCGUUGCACAAUACUUCAUGUCAAUUACUCCCAUCUCAAUCUUCUCCCGUAUGAAGUGAUGUUGAAUGUCAAUAUACUUUGUCCUUGAAUGAUGCUUUGGAUUUCUGGCAAAAGAAAGGCAUUCUUGAUUGUUAAACUUCAUUAGAGUUGCUUCCAAUUGUACAAGUCCAAUAUCUUUUAAAACUUAUCUUAGCCAUAUUGCCUCCAUUGUACCAUAACUUGUUGCUAUGUAUUCCGCCUCCAUUGUAGACCUUACAAUUAUUGGUUGUCUCUUACAAUUCUAUGAAAUUGCUCCCAUUCCAAGAAAGAAUACAUAUGCCAUUGUUGAUCUUCUAUCAUUUGCAUUUCAAGCCCAAUCUACAUCACAAUAUCCAUGCAAUGUAAUACUAUCACCUCCAAGACACAAUUUGAAGUUUAAAAUACCUUUUAAGUACCUCAAGAUCCUCUGAAUGGUUAUCCAAUGAAUUGGUCCAACCUUUGACAUGUGUUGACUCAUGACACUCACCGCAUAUGCAAUAUCCAGCCUUGUACCAACCAUUGCAUACAUAAGUGAGCCUACUACUGCCUUCUAUGGAACAUCUUUCAUUUCUUCUUCAAUUUUAGUAAAUUUCUCAUCCGUAAGUUUCAUCAACUUCAAAUUUACCUCCAAAGGUGUUCUAAUAGACUUGCACUCCUCCAUAUUGAACCGUUUCAAUACUUCUUCAAUGUACUUCUUUUGGCUCAAUGUAAUGAUCUUCUUAGCUCGAUCUCUUACAAACUCCACUCCUAAGCAAUAGUGGAGCUCUCCCAAAUCACUCAUUUCAAAUUCUGUUACUAACUUUACCUUCAACCAAUCCAUCUUUUUCAAAGUAUUGGUCAAGAUGAUCAAAUCAUCAAUGUAAAGAAUAACAAUCAGCAAGAAGGCUUUUGAUUGCAUCACAUAUAUGGAAUGAUCAGCCUCACUCCUCACAAAUCCCUCAUUCACAAAGAAGGUGUCGAUACGUUGUCGUGAUGUAAUAUGACUAGUAGGUGAAAGGGUGAAGAAAUAUAUCAUAUUUUGAGGAUCUCACUUCAAAAAUAUUGUAGCAAAUUAUCUUGGAAAAAUAGAUAUUAGUAAAAGGGUAGAAAAAUUAAAGGUGCUAAUGCUGCCUUUUUACAAAUUAUGUUUCUAUUUACUUUGUAAGGCCAUAAAUAAGGCAAAACAAAGUAGAUUAGAAAAAUAAAGGAUAUAGACAUAUGUAAGGAGGAGUUAGGAGUGCAAAUUAGUAAAAAUUACCUCAAGAAGACGAAAGUUGAUACCCGGAGAGGGCCAGUUAUGAACCAGGGUCGAAAUCAGAGCCUAAGGCACAAAACCGAAUCUCGACGACGACUUCGGGACUCUUUGGAAAAUCGGAGAAUGGGAUUUGAUAGAAGAUUGAAUAGGGUUUCUAUAGGCAUUAAUUUUGGGUGAUUUGGAGUUGAUAUGACUUUGUAAGAGCUUUGCAAAAAGGAGGUUUGUUUUAGAUGACUUGGAUUUUAUGAAAUAAAAUAGGGUUUAUGUUUUGAGUGAUUUCGAGAGUUUUGUUGCAGAUCUAUAAAUGAAAUUUUUUGGAUUCAUGAUUAUAGUUGUUUUAAAUAUAUAUUGUGAAUUUGAGCUUGAUCUAACGGUUGAACUGAGAGAUAUUGAGGUUUAAUCAGGUCAAAGUCUUAGAAAGUAGAAUUUUAGGUCCAAUGAGGAUUAUUAAGAUUUCAUGCAAUCUUCUAGUUGGAUUGGAGUAAAACUUAUGUGAGAGGGUAUUAGACUUGUUUUUCUAUGUCCAUGAGAAAUUUGAAACCAAUCGAACGGCGCAAAGAAGAGAAAUUGGCUCUGGAAGGUUGGCAUUAAGAUUGGAGAAGGAGGCCGGCUAACACCCAAACACAUUUUUGAGGUUUUCGUCAAUUAAGUAACUCCGAUCCUUUUCAAAUUUUUUGUGCUUGUUUUAAACUUGAUUUUUAAGAAGUAUGCAAAUUUUGAAUUGAGAUCAACGGUUUAUUCAUUAGAUAUUGAGGUUUAAAUCUGUCAUAGGAAUUACUAGAAUUUGGAUUAGGGUUUGGCUAGGGUUCGAUUUAGGAUUUGGAUUAGGGUUUGGAUUAGGGUUUGGCUAGGAUUUGGAUUAGGAUUUGGAUUACGGUUCAGAGUUUGGUUAGGGUUUGAUUUAGGAUUUGGAUUAGGAUUUGGUUAGGAUUUGAUUAGGGUUUGGAUUAGGAUUUAGGGUUUGGUUAGGAUUUAGGGUUGGAUUAGGAUUUGGAUUAGGAUUUAGGAUUUGAUUAGGGUUUGAUUUUGGAUUUGGAUUUGGAUUUGGAUUAGGGUUUAGGGUUUGAUUAGGGUUUGAUUUAGGAUUUGGAUUAGGGUUUAGUUAGGGUUUGAUUUAAGGUUUGGUUUAGGGUUUGAUUAGGGUUUGAUUUAGGGUUUGGAUUAGGGUUUAGGAUUGGAUUAGAAUUUGGAUUAGGAUUUAGGGUUUGAUUUAGGGUUUGAUUUAGGGUUUGGUUUAUGAUUUAGGGUUUGAAAUAGGGUUUGAUUUAGGAUUUAAUUUAAGGUUUGUUUAGGAUUUGACUUAGGGUUUAGGAUUUAUUAGGGUUUAAGAUUUAAUUAGGUUUGGUCUAAAGUUUGAGUAAAAUUCAAUAGGAUUUUAACUAGAAUUAAAUUAAGGUUGAAUUGACAUAUAUUUGAGUAAUAUUUGUGAUCAUUUUAAUAUUUCUUUAAAAAAUUUAUUGUUUGUUUGAAAUUUCUUUGAGUUGUUUUGAAUUUGAAUACGUUUGUUUACCAUUAUUAUAGUCUAAUUAGAGCAUUGUUAAUAUUCUAUUAGAAUUAGGAUUUUGUUAUCAUAAUUUCUAUUCUUUCUUCUACAGCCAGGUGCCCAGAGCAUUCUCAAGCAAGACUUCACACAUUAUGACAACGUUGGUACUAUGCCCUUGAUGAUUGCUUGAGCCCAUACAAGGAUUUUAUCAACUUACACAAAAGGUGUUGUUUGCUUUUUUCAACAAAUCCUUGAGGAUGUCUUCUUUCAAUUCUCCAUUCAAGAAAGCCGUCUUCACAUCCAUUUGGUGCAUCUCCAAGUCUAUUGCUGCCUUAAUUGCUACAAUGGUUCUAAUGGUCGUGAAUUUGGCCAAAGGACCAAAUGCCUCAUUGAAAUCAACUCUAGUAACUUGUGAGUAGGCUUUGGCAACCAAACUUGCCUUAUACCUCACAACAUUGUCCAUUGCAUCCUUCUUUAUUCUAAAUACCUACUUACAACCAAUUGAAGCUUGAUUUGGUGGAAGUUGAGUCAAUUUCCAUGUUCUAUUAUCCAUGAGUGAUUUGUACUAUUCUUUCAUAACAUUCUUUUACUUUAUAGCAUCCGAGGACUUCAUUGCAUCACAUAAACUCAACAGAUCAGUAAAAAAUACAACAUUGGCAUGUUCUUUACUUAUUUGAAGAAAAAUAUGGUCCUUCUACCAUUCACCAUGUUGUUUUCUAUCUCUCAAAGGAUAUCUCUUUUCAUUUGAAGAAGACUCAACUUGUUGCACUCCAUGGUCACCUCCAACCUUCUUUCCUUUUAAAGAUAAUCUUUUCUCAUUCAAAGGUUCAUAAUCCUCAUCACCAUCAUCAUCAACAUCUUCAUGCUCUUCAUUGCUGGUCUUAGCAAUUGUAGAGGUCUUCUUGUCCACCUUCUUUGCCUCUUCAUCUUCAUUUCCACCUUUACAACUAUCAUUGUCUUUGUCUUCUUCUUUCUUUGUUGAAUUUGAAGACGUAUCUACAAACACACCAUUACUCCCACUUAGACACAUCUCCAAAUGCUCACAAGUAUUCUUGUACUCCAAAACUCAAUAUCAUGACUUUUGAUGAUCUUUUUAGUCUCCAAAUACAUGAACCUAUAAGCCUUUGUACCUUCACAAUAUCCAACAAAGACACAUUUUGUACCUUUUGCAUCAAAUUUUGAUCUCAUAUAAUCUUGUGUCUUUGCAUAAGCUAUGCAUCUAAAGGUCCUCAUGUGAGAAACACAAUGUUUUCUCCCACUCCAAGCUUCUUCCGGCAUCAUUGAUAUAAGUGCACUUGUAGGACACCUAUUUCUUGUGUACACUGCAUUCACCACUACUUCCAUCCAAAACUCAUGUCCAAGAUAUUGUGCAUGAAGCAUAUUCCUUGCCAUCUCUAUAAUGGUCUGAUUUGCUCUUUCAGCAACUUCAGUUUCUUGUAGAGUAUAAGGAGUGGAGGUUUGUCUUGCAAUACCAUGCAUCUUCAAGAAAUCAUUGAAUUGCUUUGACAUAUAUUCACCUCCAUUGUCCAUAUGUAAUAUCUUGAUUUUACACUUACAUUGCUUCUCUACAAAUGCCUUAAACUCCUUAAACCUUGUGAAAUACUCACUCUUUUCUUUAAGGAUAAAAAUCCACACCAUCCUUGAAAAAAUAUCAAUGAAUAUGACAAAGUAACUUGUACCUCCUAUUAAUGGUAUCUUCAUAGGUCCACAAACAUCAGAAUGGACUAUCUCCAACAACUUGGUUGCAUGUGUUGCAACUCCACUUAGAAAUAUAGCCCUUUGUUGUUUGCAUUGAAUACAACCUUUAGAAGCAAGUGUCAUAGCAUUGUAGCUUAUAUGACCAAGAUCUAAGCCACUUACUAUAGAUUGGAGCUCUUUCAUAUUCUUGACAUUCAAAUGAUCAAGGCAUUGAUGCCAAAUGCCAAACUUGUCUUGAUCUUGAAGAAAUUCAACAAAUGCCACUACUUCAACUUCAUUCACCUUCUUAUACUUGAUGAAGUAGAAGUUGCCUUGUCUAAAGUCCUUUGCAACAUCAUCUCCUUUCAAUGUCUUCACAAAACAUCCAUGCUUAUCAAAUUGCACUUUACAACCAUGUGAAACAAGUUUACUUACCAAGAGGAGGUUUUUCUUCAUCUGUGGCACAUGUAAGACGUCCUUCAAUCUGGUCCUCUUGGUUUGGCCUUUCACAACAAUCUCUAUAAUAAUAGAGCCCAUUCCAAUAGCUUCUAUUAUACCAUUGUCUCCUAUGAAGAUAUUUGCUAUUGAAAUUUCUUCAUAACUGUCAAAUAAACACUUGUAUGGAGUCAUGUGCUUGGUGGCAUCAGAAUCAAUGAUCCACUUAGACAUGGUAGCCAUGGAAGUGCCUUCACUUACUAUGAAUGCAUAAUCAUCACCUCCAUAUUCAUCACAAGUAUUGUUUGUACUUUCUCUAUCUCUUUUCUUAGCCUUGUAGCAAUUUCGAGCAAAGUGGCCUGGUUUUCCACAAAUGAAGUAAGUUCUCACAUUGCCACGUUGGUUGGGAUGACUCUCCUCACCUUGCCUUGAAAAUAGAGCCGAAUCCUCACUUUGGGGCUCUUUUUCUUUCUUCUUGGUCAUGUCAUGGGCAAGUCUUGCCGUCACAUAAUCUAUUAUGAGUUCUUUUACUUUGAUGGAUUCCAAUGCCACAAUGAGGUAGUUGUAGGACUCGGGAAGGCUCAUAAGCAAGGUCAUGAUAAUAUCACUCUCUUCUAAAGGCUUGUCAACAAUUGUAAGUUGAUUAGCAAGGGCCUUACCUUAUUGACAUGAGCCAUGAGGUCUUCACCUUCUUCCAUCUUGCAAGUGAAGAAUUUUCUCAUUGUAAAGAUGAUAUUGAACAAGUUCUUACUCUCAUAUAUGUUGCAAAGAGUCUUCCAUGCUUUUCAUAGUCAUUUGCAAGAGAUGAUGUGAGAAAAGUUGGCUUUAUCUAAAUUAGUGGCAAUCAUGCCAAAAGCCUUCUUUUCACGUCUUGUGAAGUCCUUUCUCUCUUUAGCAUUAGCAUGCAUGCUUGAAGGCUCUUCACUUUCAUCUAUAAUGUCCCAAAGUUCUAAAGAUGCCAACAAAAAUUCUAUUUUGACCUUCCAAUGGUAGAAAUUGUCACCUCUAAACUUUUCAAUCACUCUCAAAUCUUCACCCUCACUUGAAGCCAUGUCUUAGAAGAGGUCUAUCACAAAAUAUCAAGAAAAGGAGUCUCUAUGUGCUUAAAAUUAUCAAAAUAAUUUUGUACUAGUAAAAUCUUAGAAUGCCCUCUUCUGAACAAAUGAAUGUUUUUUCACUCCAAACACUUCUGAAUCAACUUUUGAAGCUUCUAACAAGUAUGUGAACUCCAAUCAACCUAACCAUCAAGUUCUUAUACUCAUAAAACUCACUUUCUCACUACAAAACCAAAGACACAAUCAAGGUCUUUGUAUAAGGUCUUAAUCACUCAAUCCUAGGAAUUGAGAACCUUCAAACUCAUGUUGGAGAUCUAUAAGGCCCAAAUCAAAACCUUCACAAGUCAAAACACAAAAUUAUAUCAUACAAUCUCUAACAUCAGCAAACACCAUAAAAUCUAUUCCACACAAGAACAACAAUCAGUAAAUAACUUCACCUUACUUGAAUAGUACAACAAAGUGUGUGUGGGCCCAUAACCUAUUGAAGAAACACAAUAAAUAAGACACAAGUAAGUAAAAAAUAGCAAGGUUAGACACAAGAGAAGUAUAGAAUGAGAUGCCUCUCACUUCCAACAUCUUUUACUUAUAGGUAGAAGUUACAUCCAUUUUCGCUAGCAUUUAUCUUACUUUCAUCCAACUAAACCCUAGAUUCUUCUUAAUCUAGCCACCACUUUAAAUCCUAACUACCACCUAUAAUCCUAGCUGCCACCUUGGUAACUUUUUUUCAUCCUUUUACUGCCCUUUGACUAUUAGCAACUUAUUUAAGAUAAUAUCUUUUACCUUCUAACUUAUCUUCUAUUUACUUUAAUAAUAGAUGCUACUUUGACUUUACAUGUGUUUAUAGUUGAUUGAUAGGUAUCAAGGACAUGAAUCUUGAAGAAAGAAAAUCCUCAAUACACUCUUGUACCACUGAAAUGAAGUCGAAAGUCACUCAAAGAUGAUAUAUUAUUAAACUAGAAUGGCUAUUGCCAAAGACACAAAAGACUAGAAAGUCAUGGAAUAAGAUUAAAGACUAGAAAGAUGUUGAUUAGAUUAAAAAAAUCUUCACUCUUGCCUCUAAAUAUACUUUCUAAUUAAGAGCUACGUGGCAAUAUUCUAUAAGAUCUCUAACAUGUGUUGACUUUGCUAGCCACAUGUCUUAACUUGCAAGACAAGUUAUCUAUGUAUGCACCAUAUAGUUAGCUUGUUCUACAAGCUAAUAUAUAAAAUUAACUUGUUCUACAAGCUACCAACAUAUGAUUGACUUAUGGGCUAAGUUUCUAACCUACAAAUACAUCUAAAGUUAAAACUCCAUCUAUGAAGCUUUUUUAAAAGACUUUAUAAAAUUAAUCAAUAUUUAUUUACUUCUAUCCAAUCAUAUAAGUAACUAUUGGGAUAAAUGUAUAUAUCUGUAACAUUAUUUUUCCUUCUUGGAACAAGUUCUAUAAGGAGCAAUUAUCAUCUUUCAUAGAUCUUACAACUCUUUAUCUUGGUUUUGAUAGAUGUCAUCAAUGAAAGUCCUCAACUUUCUUUGUUGCAUUUACAAAAAAAAAUUCUUGUCUCCCAUGUGUACUCACUAUUAUCAUAUCUGUGCCAAUAACAAGAUAUUCUAAUGUAUUUUGGCGCUAUCUUGAAUCUAAGAUUUCUUCUACCUCAAACUCUUAAUUAUUAUCUACUUUUAUAAAAAGAAGUGGUAUUUGUCUUCUUUCCAAAAUAUUCAUUGUCUUAUAUGGCUUAAAAAGAGGUAUGUAAAAUACACGAUUGAUCUUCAUAGACUUUGGUAGAUGUAAUUGAUAAGUAAUAGAAUUGAUUUAUUCACAAAUAAAAAAAGAUUCCAGCUUAUUGUAGUCCAACUUAUUACAAAGAUGAUUACUAUUGAUAUUACAACAAAGUAAGCAUAUCUUGUCACCGACAUUGAAUUGUGGUUGCACUUUAUAAUAAGCAUCUACAUUGAUCUUUUAUCAUUCUUGAGCUUCUUUUAAUUAUAACUUCAUUGUUAUUUCUAGCUUUGAAAAAUGAUUUGUUAAAUCUCUUGCCAUAGAAUUAUUAACUUUUGAAAAGUCAAAUAUAUUAAGUUGUGCAUGACAACCAUAAUUGGCAAAAAAAGAUGUUUAUUGAAUAGAAGAAUGUAUCAAAUUAUUGUAUGUAAACUCUGAUAAUGACAAAAGAAUUAUCCAAUCAUCUUGAUGAUAAUUGAUGAUAUAUCUCAAUUAUUGCUCCAAAACUUGAUUCACCUAUUCCAUUUGUCCAUCAGUUUGAGGAUGAAAAGCCAAAGAGAGCUUUAUAUCCACUUUUAGCAUCUUGAAAAGGAUUUUCCAAAAUCUUGAUACAAAUUGAGUCUCCCUAUGUAAUUUAAUAUCCUUUGGUAAUUCAUGAUAGUGAUAGAUAUUAUUAAUAAAAAACUUAGUUAUUUUUUUAUCUUAUAUAUUUAGUACAAAAUAUGCCAUUUUAGUGAAGUAAUCUAUGAUUACAAAUAUAGAGUCAUAUGAACUUAAACUUGAAAGAUUUAUAAUAAAAUCCAUAGAAAUAGAAGACCAUAGUUGUUCAAGUAUAGGAAAUAGUUGGAAAAGUUUAUAGGAUCAAUGAUAAGGAGUUUUUGAUCUUGAACAAACAUCACAUAAUUAGACAAAGUCUUUUAUUGCCUUUUGUAUUUACAGCCACUAAAAAUCUCUAGAUAUAAGCUCUAAAGUCUUGUUGUAUCCAAAAUAUCUUGCUAUGAGAAAGUCAUGACAUGCUUGAAAAACACGCAAACAUGCUUCUCCUUCUAGAACAUAUAAGUGUCAUUUGAAAUAGAGUAGGUUGUUCUUCAACUCAAAAUUUAAAAUAUUAUGAGAUUUAGAAGAAAGAUUCUUGAUAUUAUAAACAAGAGAAUCAAAAGACAUAAUUCCAUAAUUAUAAUAAGUUCUUUAUUGUAGAUCUCAUAGUUAAUCUUAGCUACUAAAAAUUUCCUAAAUUAAAAAGUUAUAAGAUGGAGUUUUUUAUUUGUUCUCAUUUAUAACAAUACUGCAUCCAAGGCAAAGUCUGAUGCAUCUAUUUCCAUAAAAAAUGCCUUAAAACUAAGUUUCGAUCUUCUUUGAAUCCAUCAUAAGGCCUUCAUUGGAAAUGAUGUAUCUCAAAAAAUCAACUUGAGUAAUGUAGAAUAUAUUCUUUUUCAACUUUACAUAUAAUCUUGCAACUCUUAUUUUUUGUAAUGUACAAUGAACAUGAAUUUCAUGCUCUUUUAUAUUCUUAGAAUAAAUUAAAAUAUCAUCUAAAUAAUAGACAACAAAUAUAUCAAGAAAUUCAUGAAAGACAUCAUUCAUUAAAUGUUGAAAAGUAGCUAAUACAUUUGUGAGUCCAAAAGGCAUGAUAUUAUAUUCAAAAUAUCCAUACUUAGUUUAAAAAGCAAUCUUCUAUUCGUCUCUUUCUUUAAUAUAGACCAAGUAAUAUGCUCUUUAUAGAUCUAUUUUUAUAUAAAUCUUUACUUGAUUUAAUUGAUCAAAAAGUCCUAAAAUCAAAGGCAAAGGAUAUGUAUUCGUAAUGGUGAUCUUGUUAAGUCUUUGAUAGUCCACACAUAUCUGUAGAGAUUUAUCUUUUUUCUUCACAAAUAAGAUAGGAGUUCUAAUUGGAGAUUUAGAAUGGCAUAUAAAGUUCUUAGCCAAAUUUUCAUCAAUAUAUUCUUCAAGUGCAAUCAACUCAUUUUGUGAUAGGCUAUAGAUUGGUCCAAAUAGUGUAACAUUUUCAAAAGACAAUGAACGUCCAUCUAUUACUUCUACAUACAGAGGUUUGAUUUUCUUAACUAAGGAUAUAUUUUAUUUUUUGACAAAGUCUUUAUCUAUAAAAUAGGUUGAGGCUCUUCAAUCCAACAAAGCUAAGAUUUUGUGAUUUUUUGGUCCUAAAUAAACUUCUAUUGUUAAACAAGGUGAAGGAUCUAAAAAAUAAAAAUGGCCUUUACUAGAUGUUGCACAUGAUUCCAACCACAUGAUUCCUAUAGUAACUAGAGCAACUUUUCUUCUUUGACAAUCAUGCAUAUCAUUUUGUAAUUACAUUAUUUUUUUGGAUAAUAUACCAUUCUCUUCAAUAUAAGCAAAGAUCCUCUUGACAACAUUGAGUUUUUUCUUACCAUAUAAGAGAUUUAAAACAUACCAUAUGAAUUUGCAUUGGUUCUAGCUUUAAUGAAUAAGUUUCAAAAAGCUUAGAAGUUGCCAUCAUUACUUGACUUAUUCCUCUCCAAUCGAGUCUUUGUUCUUGAUGUCUUUCAAAUAAUCUAUUGUCACAUGCAAUGACUUGAGCAAUAAAUUGUUCUAAAGAUUUUGUCUUAGGCAUUAUUAAUAACAAAAAUUUGACAUUGUCCUUUAAUCCAUACUAAAUUUAUUGAUAAGAGCUUUGUCAUUCCAAUUUAAGUUGCAAGCAAGGUUUUAGAAUUCAGCAGCAUACAUGGUGGCUAACUAUUGUUGUAUCAUGUAAUUUGCUAUCUAGGAAUACACUACGUAUCUAGAUGUAGAGAGUUUGGCUUAAACUUUUAUAUGUAUCUUGUCUUAGCUUCCAAAAACUCCUUUAUUUUGCAUAAAAUUCUAAAUAUAGCAAAAUCCCUUCAAAACAUAUUUUUUUCAUGAAGAAUUUUUUUUAUCCAUACUUUAGAAAUUUAUAACUCUUGAUCUAACUGUUCAAUUUAUUUUAAAUUUAUAAGGUAGGUAGAAUUCACCCUUCAAUUUUACCACAAAAAAACCAACCACAAAUUCAUUCUUGAUCAUUUGACACCUAAGAAAUCUUAGCAGAUACUCUAAAUCCUAAUUUACAAGCACCAAAAUACUAUUUUCUUAAUAUCUCAAGUAUCUAAUAUUUAAAUACUAUUAAAAUUAUGUACAAAGUUUAUUAAUAUGAAUUUAUACAUCUUUUGAAAUUUUGAGCCAAAAACUUGUCAAAUUACUCAAGAUACAGCUCAAGAUACAACCACUAGUAAAUCAAGUCACUUACUACCCUUAGAUUACAUGUGCUGACUUCAAAAUCUAAUAUCUCCUUCAGUAUAACUUGAAAUAGAGCAAGCAGUAUAAAAAAAGAUGUAGCUAUAAAAGUGCUCUCUCCAAUUACAAAUGCCAAUCCUCAAUUUCCUUCUCUACACGUGUAUUAGGUCAAAACGAGUGACAGUAGCUACCAAAUCAACACCUUAACUUAGAGUGCCUAUAUCUCCUACAUACAAACUCCAAAUCAUACAAAAUUUGUACCAAAACCAUAGCCAAAAAUCUAAGCUCUUUAAUCUUAGUCUUCAAAUUUCAAAUGGCUCCAAAAAACUAACCCUAAUCCCUAAUAUGGCCUCAAACAACCUCCUUGAAGCCUAUUGAUCAUGAUUUUCGACCAAUAGGAAUAGAGAUUUUCAUCAUCCAUCUCCAUUCAUCUAUAUAGAUGCCCUAAAUUCUCUUUUUAUUACCAAAAUCCUUCUCAAACUCUUUUCUUUAUAAGAUUUACUCAAUAUAUGUCCUAAACACCAAAUUAAAGAACCAAAAUGAGACUUCAAGCAUCACCAAUGUUUAAUAAAGGUGAUUCUAAAUAUUUAAAAUUACUACCAAAAAAAUCAAUCUCAAAAGCCAUUAUCAAAAAAAAAUAAAGUUAUACAAAUUCUAAUAGUAAUCUUUUUAAAAAACUUCUUUUUAAAGUAGUAAUUUAACCACAUUCUACAACCUAUCAAAAUCUGGUAAUAUGGCUUUUAUCAUAUUACUAAGCAAAUUGUAUAUUAAAUACAUAAUCACAUUAUUAUCACAUGGUAGCCAAACCACAAUACAAUACCGUGAUCCUUAUCAUAAAGAUAAGAAUUUGAUUUCUACUACUCUUUUUUGAUCACUUUCUCCAAAUGUGGCCAUAAAUACUUUUAAAAAUAAAUUCAAAUCAUUAAGAAGUCACGAAUCACUUUCCAUCAAAGGUACAAAUUAAGAGAUAGUACUUCUAGAUAGAAGUGAACCUACAAGCCCAACUUGAGCAAAUCCAUCAGGAUAUUUGAAGAGGUGCAACCUUAGAUAGAGCUUAACUUAUUGCAGAAAUCUUUGAAAUUUUGAUCUUAUUCUAUUAAACUUCUUUGGCAUACUAAUCUUGGUUCCCAUUGUACUUAUAGAACUAAAACUUCUUGGAUUUAGUUGAGAAGUUGAUCUAAUUACUUCUUUCAAUUAUACAACUUCUUAAUGUAGAUUUUGAACUUCUUCUAUAGGCUUAGGAAUAAUACCUCCAUGAUUCAUGUUGGAAAUAUAUGAGAUCUCUAUUCUUUGAGUAUUGAUAAGGUUAUGAAGAUCUAUAGUAAUUACAAAUCUAUUCUCACUUUUGUUGUCAAUAGCAUCCAUAAUCUUUUUUUAUUAUAGAUAAUUCAAAAAAAAAAUUAAAAAAUUAAAUUAGAAGAGGAUAAUCUGCAACCUCUAAUGUCAAAUAAAAAUUUCCAUGAAGAAGGUUAAUCCACUCUCUUUUAAGGAAAAAAUCAAUGUUAAAAAAUAAGAUUGUUCUUUUAAAGGUGGAUAAUAUGCAACCUUUGAAAAUUCAAUAAUAUAAGUGGGAUAAUCCACUCACUUCUAAAUCAAGACAAAAACAGUAAAUUAACACUCUUGUUAAACUGUCAAAGAAAUAAAUCUUGAAAAAAGAAAAUCCUCCAUACACUCUUGUACUACUAAAAUGAAUUAGAUAGUCAUUCAAAGAUGAUAUAUUAUUAAAAUAGAAUGGCUAUGGCUAAAAAUAAAAAGGCUAUAAAAUCUUAAAAAAACAUUAAGUCCUAGAAAGGCAUUCAUAAGAUGUCAAGGAUAUGAAUCUCGAAGAAAGAGAAUCCUCAAUACACUCUUCUAUCAUUGAAGAGAACUAGAAAGCCACUCAAAAGGUGGUGUAAUAUUAACUAGAAUGGCUAUUGCUAAAAAUAAGAAGACUACAAAGACUUGAAACAAGACUAAGACUAGAAAUGCAUUGACAAGAAUGAAGAAGGCUUCACUCUUGCCUCCAUAUAUACUAUCUAACAAAGAGCUACGUCGCAAUGUCUUAUGGGACUUCCGACAUGUGUUGACUUUGUUAGCAACAUGUCUUAUCUUGCAAGGCAAAUUAUUUAUAUAUGCACCAAGUAGUUGAUUUCUUCCAUAAGCUACUAAUACAUGGUUAGCUUUUUGGCCAAGUUUCUAACCUACAAAUACAUCUAAAGUCAAAACUGCAUCUAUGAAGCUUCUAAGAAGCUUCUCUAGAAGACUUUAUGAAAUUAUUCUAUAUCUAUUUACUUCUAUUCUUUACUCUCUUUGAAGAUGGUUGAUAGGUCCUCUCAACCAUGUAUAAUGUCUCAUAUCAAGGCGAGAAGACCACCCUGUUAUUUGAUCAUUGUUGAGGCCUUCGUAACUUCCUUCAAAUAAAACAUUUGAAACACUGUUAGAAAUUAUUCCUACUUUUAAUAAAAUCACUAAACAUCGGGAGUCUCUUCGAAGGUCGUGAUACCAAACACGUUGUAUUUUGCCAUCUAUUCAAGGAAGGACAUGUUUUUCUUAGGGAUCUUCAUCUCGAUUCCGUUGUCUUGAAAGUUGUGACAAUUAUAUUGUCUCAUUUGGUAAGUCCGCAAAUGAAAGCUCUUGAAUUGAAUAUGUUGGUUAUUGGUGUUCCAUCUCAUCAUACAUACACAGAAGCUAUAAUAAAAGAUAGAAGGUAGAAUGUUAUUUUUCUUUGAUCUUGUUUCUUUUAUAACAGAGGUUUGCUAUUCUUCAUCUUAAUUUUGAUAGAUAUUAUUGAUGAAAGACUUCAACUUUUUUUGCUAUAUUUAGAAGAUUCUUUGAUGGCUCCCAUGUGCAUUCACUAAUGUCAUAUCCACACCAAUGAAUAAGAUAUUUCAACCUAUUUCGAUGCCACCUUCAGUCUAAGACUUCUUCUACCUCAAAUUCUUGAUUAUUAUCCACUUAUAUAUAAGGAAGUGGCAUUUUUCUUCUUCUCAAGAUAUUCAUUGCCUUAUAUGGCUCUAGACGAGAUAUGCAAAAUAUAGGGUGGAUCUUCAUCGACUCCAGUAGAUGUAAUCGAUAGGCAAUAUGAUUGAUUUAUUCACAAAUAGGAAAAGGUCACAGCCUAUGAUAAUCUAAUUUAUCACAAGGAGAACUAGUCUUGAUAUUAUGACGAAGUAACCAUACCUUGUCAUCCAUAUUAUAUUGUGGUUGCUUCUUACGAUAGGCAUCUACAUUGGUCUUUUGUCAUUCUUGAGCUUCCUUUAAUUGUAUCUUCAUUGUUGUUUGUAGCUUUGACAAGCGAUUUACUAAAUCUUCCAUUGUAGGAUUAUCAACUUUUGAAAAGUCAAAAGUAUCAAGACGUGGAUGAUAACCAUAAUUGGUAAAGAAGAAGUUUGUUGAGUAGAAGAAUGCAUCGAAUUAUUAUAUGCAAACUCUGCCAAUGGUAAAAGAAUUGUCUAAUCAUCUUGAUGAUAGUUGAUGGUACAUUUCAAAUAUUACUCUAGAACUUAAUUUAUCUGUUCCGUUUGUCCAUCAGUUUGAAGAUGUAAAGCUGAAGAAAGCUUUAUAUUCACCUUUAGAAUCUUGAAUAGGAUUUUUUAAAAUCUUAAUACAAAUUGAGUCCCCCUAUUUGAUAUAAUAUCUUUUGGUAAUCCAUGAUAGCAAUAGAUAUUGUCAAUGAAAAGCUUACAUUUUUUUUACUUGUGAUAGAUUUUGUACAUGAUAUAAAAUGUGCCAUCUUGGUAAAAUGAUCUACUAUCACAAAUAUGGAAUCAUAAGAACUUGAGAUUGAAAGAUCUGUGAUGAAAUUCAUAGAAAUACAAGACCAUGGUUGUUUUGGAAUGGGUAACGGCUGAAGAAGUUUGUAAGAUCGAUGACAAGGAGUUUUUGAUCUUAAGCUAACAUCACAAGAUUGUACAAAAUCUACAACAGACUUCCACAUUUGCAGCCACCAAAAAUCCCUAGAUAUUAGUUUUAAAGUUUUAUUGUAUCCAAAAUGUCCUACUGUUGGAAAGUCAUGGCAAGCUUAAAGAAUACAUAAUCAAGCUUCAUCUUCUAGAACAAAUAAUCGUCCUUCAAAAUAUAAUAGAUUAUUUUUGAAUUCAAACUUUGAAGUAUCAUGGGACUUAAAGGAAGUAUUUUUGAUAUCAUGAAUAAGAGGAUUAAAGGACAUGAUUGAUUGAAAUUGCUUCACAAAUAUUGAAUCAAUAGUCAAUGUUGAUUUUAUAGCUCGAAGAUGAAAUUACUAGGGCUUUAAGAGAUUUGAUCUUUAUUGAUCAAAAGAUGCAUCUUCUUCUUUUAGUGUAAGAUAAGAACAUCUAGAAAGAGUGUCCAAUAGACCUUAUUAUUUUUCGGUUAAAUAGGUGAUCUUAAAAUUGGAUCUAUAUAAAGACAUGCUCCAACGGUGUCAUAUUACAUGCUAUCUUGCUUGAGAAUGCAUCAAGUAUCUAACUAUGGAAGAUAAAACAAUGUUUUGCAAGUAUUCAGGUAGGCUAGUGGAUUUCAACCACCUAAAUAUAAUUAUUUCAGAUUUCAAUGUAAAAGCUUAAUCCAUUAUAAAAUACUUAGAAAUAAUAUUUUUAAUAACUUCAAGAAAUUAUAAGCACAAGUCUUUUGUUAUUUAUUAGUUUUAUUUUUUUAUUUUUUAUUUUUUAUUUUUUUUAUUUUUAAUUCUAACCCUGGACAGCGAGCUUCGGCAAGCUGUAAUUUUCAAUAUGACUGUCCGAUGGUUAUAAACUUCUACCACUAGUGUCUUUAUAAGCCUUCUAAAUGCUCAAGAAGUUUCAAUCUAAUCUAACUUACAUGUUGUAAGAAAAUGCCAUUAAUCUACACUGAUGUAUCUUGGCCGUCGCUUAAAAGUCCUCGACUUAUCACGCCAAAAGUCACCUUAUUCCAGCUGAUAGAUCUCCAGUAACUAUAGAAAUCCUAAACAACCCCAAUCUGCCAACUUCCAAUAUCUCUUUAUACUAAUGGUCAAAUAUCCUCUAUCUAUUUUGUGAGAUAAAUACAACUUUUGCAUGCACUCAGCAUACUCAACUCUUUAGAUAUCUCUAAAUUUCAACCGCAGAAGUUUUUCUAAUUUUACAAAAAAAUCAAGAGUACUAGCCGUUACUUUAUUGUAAAAAAAACCCAAUUCACCAAUACAAACACUGACUUCCAACAACGAUUGCCAAAGUCCUCCCAAAUCCUAUGAACCCAAAUCUACACCUUUCGAAGGAGCUUGAAGCUAGCUCUCCGAUCCCAAAAUCUUGAUCUCCGAAUGCCCCUUUCCUUAUCCUUUCUUCUCUUUUAACUCUGUGUGGUCCCCUUUUCUCCCGCCUUGGACUCCGAAUUAGAACAGCCGAUGGUGCUUCCCCGGAGUCAAGUCUCAUAUUGGGUAAGAGAUCCAUACAAAGACUUAGAUUGGAUGUCCCCAUAAUUGGAUCAAAUUAGCCCUUUACAUCAGACUCACGCGUAUAUUGAAUUGGUCCUUUUUUUUUUUGUAGAUUCCUUGUAAGAAUGGCUCGGACUCAUUCCACUCGAUUUACUAGAGAAUCUUGAAGACCUUGAUUUAUCUCCUCAAUUUUUCCUUGGAUUUGGAUUUGCUGAUCCUAUUUAUUGAAAUUGGAUGGAGCAUUAUAUUGCUAAUAAGUAUACCUCGUCUGCUUACAAUUUCUACACACUGGCUUUGGGAUUGGAACAUUCACUGGCAUAAUGACCAACCUGGUUUACAACAAAAAUGAAAAAGUGGUCUUCCUACACCUCCAUCACGCAUAUUGGGUAUCUCCACCAGUAUAUACCUACUAGGCUUGUUCCAUGUAGGGUUGGAAAAUGAUCCUAGUUGUUCCAUUGGUACAGAGGGUACUUGGUUUGAUGACAUCGGUGGAGUGACAUUAACUGACCCUGAAUAUUGGCACUCGAAUUGGCCACUAUUUCUAACUUCCAAGAUGACUAAAUAUUAAUAAUAUCUUUUUUAUUUAUAUUUUUACCAUAUAGUCAUGUUACAAUAUGACAUCCAUCCUCUUUGAACCUGUGCAUCCUCUAGUAUGCACCAAAUAACCAAGUUUUUGUUUGAUUCAUAAUACAUUCUCCAAGUCUUUGUCCAAGUCCUCUUCAUCAUUUUUGCUAUCCAUGUCAAAUUCAUCUUCUUGUUGAGGAAUAUCUAUAUCUUCACCAAGGUCUUUUAUAUUUAUUUCUGUGUAUCUUUAUUUAAAUAUUUUUACUCACUUCUCUGUAAUUGGUAUUUUUAACUUUGUUCCAUCUAACUCCCGCAAUGAGUAAGUUAUAUUAUCAUGAACAAUUGUUACCACAUACGGUCCAAACCAUCAUUUAGAAAACUUCCUUAAAGCACUAUGUUGAUUGUCCAAGCUACUAUUAUAGACCAAAACUCAAUCACCUUCUUCAAUUGCUUUAGGCCUCAAUCGAUGCUGCUUAUCAAAUCGUGUCUUGUUUUGUAACCUCGCUCUUUUUAACCUUCCUAAUGCUAUUUACACAUCUUUCAAUCUUUACUCUAAUUGUUGAAUUCUAAUAGCUAGAAGUUCUUCUCUUGUCAAUCCAUCUUUUCAUGGUAGUACAGUCCGAAUAGGUACUUUUUUUUCAAUUGGCAUAAUUGAUUUUUGGCCUGUUAUAAGCUCAAUAGGCAUAUAUCUCGUUACUGAGCUAUGAGUUGUUCGAUCAGCCCAUAAUGCAAAUGACAAAAGUUGCGGCCAUUCUCUAACCUUUCCAUUACAAGCUUUAACUAAUGCUUUCACAAUCAAUAAGUGACCACGUUCACUUUUUGUAUUUCCUUCAGGAUUAUAAGUAGUAGUUAGUGAUAGUUUAAUACCACAUCUUUCAAAGAAUUCACAAGCUUCUUGUGCAUUUAAUUCUUCAUGAUCUCCAGUGAUUUUUCCUACACAUCCAUAGUGGCAAAUAACAUCUUCAAGAAAAAAUCUACAAAUUCCUUCCAUAAUUUUUGUUCUCAAUGCUCUUUCUUAAACUUGAUUUGAUAAAUCUUCAUGAGCUAAGAGCAAAUAUCUCAUUUGCCAUAACUUAAUUGGCAUAAUAACCAAAUCAACAACCUACUUAAAAUGAAUAGCUAGAGGAUAUGUAGGAUGAAGACCAUCUCAAUGUCGUAUAUUAGAAUAUGCUUGAUAAAUUUCACAUGAUUCUACAAAUAAGAGCACAUCUCAAUACAUAUUUCUCUACCAAUAUCGUUCUUUAAGUUUAGCAAAAGUAGUCCAAAUUCCUCUAUGUCUUGCCUAUAAACUAUCAUGAAACCCCUUCAGUAAUUUUUGUUUCUCUUUCUUAUUACUUAUCACUCUUUGUGGCAUUCCAAUUCGUUUUUUUGGUCUCUUCCAUAAGAAUCCUUCUUGAAACAAAAAUCCAUAUGCUUUUUUUCUCAUUUAUUUAAAUUUUUCUAUAGAUCAAUUUUCUUUUUUAGUCAAGAUAUUUAAGUAAUGACUAAUAUCCAAUAAUUCUCCUUCAUAGAAUUCUUCAAGAAAUAGCUUAUUUUCUUUGUUAAGAUUUGAUACUGAAUCGAAUUUUGAUCCAACAUCAUCAAUGUCUUCAACCAUUUUAUCUUUUCUUUCAUAUCUUGCUCUAAAUAGCAUGUCUGCUAUUAAAUUGUCUUUUUCAGCAACAUGCUUAAAUUUCAGAUUUAAUGACUUAAUAUAAGCAAUCCAUCUUAGCAUUGUAAUAUCUGGCAUUGAACAAUUAGUAAUCAUUCCAAGCAAUGGUAAGCAAUCCGUUUCAAUUACUAGUGUUGCACCAAUCAAAUAAUCCCUUUCAACUUUCAUAGCCGAAACAACUCCCAAAGUUCUCUUUUGACUUGCAAAUAUGCAUGUUGAUGAGUACUUAAAACUUUAGCUCUAAAUCAAACUACAAAUCUAUUUCUACUUGAAUCAUCUUGAUCCACAAUCCAUCCAAUAGCAAUAGGACUAGUAUCCACAGUAAGAAUUACUUGUCUAUUACAGUCAUAAUCAAUUUUUCUUAAAAUUGGAUGUGUCACCAAUAACACCUUUAGCUUCUACAUUGCUUUCGUAUGCUUUUUUUUCCAUUUAAAUUGAUAACCCUUACAUAAUAAUUCAUACAAUGGAUUUGCUAUAUGAGCAUAAUGAGGAAUCCAUAUACAAUAAAAUACACAAGCUCCUAAAAAUCUGCGUACUUUUGUUAAAGAGUCACAUGAAUCCUUCAUCCUUCUAAUUGCAUCAACUUUGCUUGGAUCUGGCUUUCUCAUAUAAAAUCCACACAAAUAUCCAACAAUAAGAACUUCUUGUACUCCAAAUAUAGAUUUUGCUCCUGAAAGUGUAAGAUGAACCUCUUCAAGUCGAGUUAAAAUCUUUUUACAAUCUUGUAUAUGAUCAACAACAUACUUGCGACACCUUCUUUCAUCUAAAGUUUCAUCUUUUUUUCCUUCUUUACAUCCUUUGAUAGGAACAUCAUCUAAAAAUAGCAUAGUUUUUUCAAGAAUGAAAACUCUUAAUACCUUGUUCAUCUCAAUCAUCAUAUGUGCAACUGAGUUAGUAUCACCCUGAGGAAGAGUACACAUUUUAAGUAAUCUAAGUAGUAUUCUCAUUGUUAUUAGAUCUCUACUCCCAUGCAUAAGUUGAAAUUAUUCAUAACCCGAAUAUAAAUCACCCAUUGAAUAAAUUUCCCUUCCCGCAAACGCUUCUGCAAACUCGUCUACUAAAUAUCUUAUACCUGCAUUUCUUAUAGUUACUACAUUUAUUGGCUGCAUAUCUUGAAUAAAAUAUAACGAUCUAUUUUUCUUAGGCACCGUAAACCAACGACUAGAAUAUGGAGCAAAAGAAGGCUCCAAAAUUUUAAUUUGCAUCUUUUCUUUCAAUAAUUCUACCAAUUUAGAUAAAUGUGCUUUUGGCAUGGAAAUUAGCCUUAAAUUCUAAGGUACAUGAGAUAAUGUAAAGAUAACCAUAGGAGCAACAAUAUUAGGAUCUACACAUCUUAUUUCACGAGAUCCAAAGGCAAAUGAUUUACCUCAUUUUGCAAGCAUUUUUUUAAAAUAUUCAAUUUCUGUUGGAAAUAAAGAACCAUCACAUCUAAUCUUCAAUUCUUCAAAAGUCUCCUUUGUAAAUUGAUGUCCAAUCUCCUUUAGAUCUCUUAAACUCUCUUCUUUUGAUGCUUCUUCUAUUUAUUCCUUAGAAUCUUCUAAUAAAGGUUCAACAACAUGUUUCACAUUUUUAUCUAUUGUUUUAUAUUUUGUCUUUACAACAACCUCUAGUACUUGCAAAGACUCAAGUGUAGAAUAAACCUCCCUUGAAUGAAUUUCCACAAUCUUAUCAUUAUCCUCUAAUCCAAUAGAUGUAAUUAAUUCUAAAGAAUCCUCCAAUCUAUUUUCUUCAUAAAUACCUAAAAUCUUCUCAUCAUCUUCUAAUGUUCCUAACUUACAUAAUUCCUUUUCAAUACUAUAUAAUCUUUUUCUUUCUUUUCUUUUAAAAUCAUCAACUUUCUUAUACAUAAUAUUUCCAUUCUCAAAAAUAUCAAUAAAACUCACAUCAAAGGUACCUUCAUCUUGUGAGAGUACCUCCUCUUUUGUAACUCGAUAAUCCCACUUUAUAGUGGUACUUCUCCAAAAUCCAUAAAUCCUUUAAUAAUCCUUGACAAUGGUUUCUCUCUCAACCUAUCUCGAUUCCGUUCAUGAUUAGGAGGUACUAUUAGAAACUGUACAGCUUUUCUUCCAUCUUUACUACGUAUCUUUGCAUAAGCAGAACCAUCAUCUAGUACUUUUGUUUCCAUCCGUAUUGCCAUAAUAUAAGGUUGUCCUAAAAUCAAUGGAUAAGACGUUGUAUCUUGAACAAAGAAAUGUUGUUCUAUCGCAACAUCUCCAAUCCAAAUUUUGACAUCUGGACAAGCUCCAUAUAAUUCGCCUCGCAUGUUAUUAGCUACUCGUAUUGCCCAUCUAUGUUCCAUAUCAAUUGGUCAUUUUUGCUUCUUUUAAAGUUCCUUAGACAUAAGAUUUAUUACAGAACCAUAGUUAACUAAAGCAACAAUUGAUUCUUCUAUAUUUCCUACUUUCACCAAUACUUUAGUAGUUGCCUUUGCCUAAUAUUUCCGAGUAUAAUGGCUUGAAGCUUCUAUUUCCUUAUCACUAUAAUCUUUAAAAUGUACUCGUUGAUUGUAUCCAUUCUUUUCGUUUGUUGAUUGCUUAUAACCAUUAUCAUCCUCUUCUUCAUCUUUAUAUAAUCCUGCAUCAAUAGCAUGACUCAUUCCAGCUUUAUCCAUUAAUUACCUCUUUUGUUUAAUGUUGUUAAUGAUAACAUCAUGAAACUCCUUCUUUGCAAUUCCCAAAAUUUCUUUUAAUGUGAAUUCCACCUUAACAUUUAAUAUACGUUCUUCCAGUACCCUUCUAAAAUUUGUUGCUGCUUCAAUAUCAGAAAGUAGCUUAUAAGCAAUUGAUUUAUCCUUAUCUUUUGUCUCCUUUGUUUUUUCUUCCAAUGAUGUUGAAGUAUCUUUUAUAGGCAAUUCUUGUGAAACCACCUCACAAGCCUUGUUUCUUCGAGUUUGCCUCUUAGAAGAAUUUCCCUCUCUUAUAUCAUCAAAAUUUCUUCGUCUCUUUUCUUCCAUCAAAGCUUCAUAUUGGCUCUUAGCAAUAUAUGCAUGAACUAAAAGAGACUCACUAGGAUCUUUCCAACUUGUUGCACCUCAUAUUUCAGUUGUAAUCCUCAAUAACGCUUCCCGAGGUAUUUUUUCUUUUUGCAUUGUAGAAAUGGUAGAAGCCCAAAAUUCACUAGUUUCUAUACUUCUGCCAAAGUCAUCAUCUACUCUAGCACCAUAACUUGCAUUCUCUCGUGUUGCUAUUCCAUGUUCUAUUAAGUAAUCUUAAACCAAUGCUCUAAUACCUCUUUUGCCAAAAUUUUUUUGAAGGAGAUCCUCUGUAUCCUUUAAUGUAAUCUUUCCAUCUUUCUAGUAAAUAACUCCUUGCUGUAUUAUAUUAUUAAAUUCAUUGCAAUCCUUCCUAGUAUAUGAAGCCUCAUCACACCAGAUACAUCUUUGUAUAUACCCUUGUUUUGAAACAUUCUUCAAAUUGUUUGUAGAAGUAUUUUUCUUCAAGUCUUGUCAAUUUGAUUUGAAGAUCUCGCAUUCCACGUAUAAUUUCAUCAAUCCCCAUCUCUCCUUUUUUUGAUAAAGAUAUUAAAGGUUGAACAGUAGACAUUUUUGGUCAUAUUGUAUGUAUUGGAAUUUUAGGUGCUUGUACUGCUUUUGGAAUAUUACUCCUAUCCUUCCUCCUUUCUCUUUUUGCAAGAAAAUCCACCAUAUUUUCAACAUUUUUUCACUUUGUUGUCAAUCUUUCAUCUUCUUCUUUGUCUUCAAGAAGCAAUUCCAAUUUCUCUUGUAGUUCUCCAUCAGCAGCUUGAAGAAAUAAUUCAACCUUAUUCGGCUCUAAUGUCAAUUUUUCUACCUUCGAUAAUUAAGAAUAUUACCUCUCAAAUUUCCUUAGUAGCUCUGUUGCUUGCAAAUUCUUAUUAGCUCGCUCAAUCCAUUUUAGAAAUAGUUUCUUAGUAAUACAAUCAGUGUCUUUCAAGAAAUAUUCAUCUUUUAAUGUAUGUAAAAAAAUCUCCCAUGAAUUUCCAUAAUACUCCAUAAAUGAGGUAAUAUGUUCUCUUAUCUCCAGUAUCAUGGCUAGUCCAAAUAAUUCAACCAUCUUCUUUUCAAAAAUAUGAUUUAAUUCUAUUUUCCAAAUAUAACAUCUUAAAUACUUUGAAAUAUCCCUUCUAUCAAACUAGUCAAUUUUAUUGACUACUGCUUACAAAGCUUUGGUUGCUGAAGCUUCUUUGCGAUCAUUGCUUUGCUGUUGCUGCAUAGAUAAUGAUAAGGCUUGAAACAUACUAGCAAUGGAUGGAUCCAUGUACAUACCUUGUCCUUUAGAAGAAACUCUACCAGAAGCUCGACUUAAAGCUCCUUCCAAAGAUCCUUCAAAAUUUUUAUUCUCAUUCUCUAUAAAAUAAAACAAAAAUAAAUAAAAUCCAAUACCUUCUACCUCAAGCUUUCACGUCCGAUUCACCACUAAUAUCAUAUUACGUGCUAUCUUGCUUGAAAGUACAUCAGGCGUCCGGCUGUGGAAGAUAAAAUAAUAUUUUAUAAGUAUUCAGGUAGGCUAGUGGAUUUCAAUCAUCUAAAUAUAAUUAUUUCAGAUUUCAAUGUAAAAGCUUAAUCCAUUACAAAAUACUUAGAAAUAUUAUUUUUAAUAACUUCAAGAAAUUAUAAGCACAAGUCUUUUGUUAUUUAUUAGUUUUAUUUUUUUAUUUUUUAUUUUUUAUUUUUUAUUUUUUAUUUUUUUUAUUUUUAUUUUUAACCCUAAUCCUAGACAGCGAGCUUCGGCAAGCUGUAAUUCUCAAUAUGACUGUCCGAUGGUUAUAAACUUCUACCACUAGUGUCUUUAUAAGCCUUCUAAAUGCUCAAGAAGUUUCAAUCCAAUCUAACUUACAGGUUGUAAGAAAAUGUUGUCAUGUUGUGGUUCAGCUACUAUAUGAAAAUAAUGUACUUAUGUACUUAAUAUAUAAUUUAUUAAUUAACAUGGUGAAAGCCAUGUUAGUAGAUUUUAGUUGAUUUUAGAAUAUAAUUUGAUUAUUACUUUGAGAAGAGGUUGUUUAAAAAGAUUACUAUAGAAUUUGUAUAACUUCAAUUUCUUUUUGAUAGUGGCUUUUAAGAUUGGUUUUGAUUGAUAGUAACUUCUAAAUAUUUAGAAUCACCUUUGUUAGACAUUGGUGACAUUUGAAAACUUCUUUUGGUUCUUUUAUUUGGUGUUUAGAGCAUAAAUUAUGUAAAUCUUAUAAGAAAAACGAUUGAAGAAGGAUUUUGGUAGCAAAGGGAGUAAUUAGGGCACCAAUUUAAAUGAAUGGAGAUGAAAAAUAAAAAUCUCCAUUCCUAUUUGCCAAAAAUCAUGACCAAUGGGCUUUGAGGAGGCUGCCCAAGGCCAUAUUAGGGAUUAGGGUUAGUUUCUCGAGAGCAUUCGAGCAUUGAAGGCUAAGGUCAAAAGUUUUAGAUUUUUGGUUAAGGUUUUGGUGCAAGUUUUGUGUCAUUUGGGGUUUUUAUGAAGAAGUUAUAGGCGCUCAAAGUUAAGGUGUUAGUUUUGGAUCUACUGUCACUCUUUUGGGCAUAACGCACGCAUACGGAUGGCAAUUGAGGAUCGGUGACCUCGACUGGAGAGAGCACUUUUGCGGCUAUACUUUUCACAUACUGCUUACUGGAUUCUAAGUUGGGAUAAAGGAGUUAUUGGAUUUUGAAGUCAGCACAUGCAAUCUAAGGGUAGUAAGUAAACCGAUUUACUAGUGUUUGUCUCUUGAGCUAUAUCUUGAGCAAUUUGACAAGGUUUUGGCUCAAAAUUUCAAGGAAUGUGUAAUUUCAUAUUAAUAAACUUCAUGCAUAAGUUUUAUGACAUUUGGAGUUCUUUUUUUUGAGAUAUAAGGAAAAUAGUUUUUCGGGUGCUUGUAAAUUAGGGUUUGGAGUGUGUGCUAGGAUUUCUUAGAUUCCAAAAGAUCGGGAGUGAAUUUGUAGUUGGUUUUUUUUGUGGUAAAAUUUAAGGAUAAAUUAAAUCUAUCUUGUAAAUUUGAAACAAACUGAACGGUUAGAUCAAUAGUUAUGAUUUUCUAAAGUUCGGGGUGAAAAAACCCUUCGUGGGAAAAAUAUGUUUUGAAGGGAUUUCGUUAUAUUUGGAGUUUUAUACAAAAAUAAAGGAGUUUUGGAAGCUAAGAAAAGAAUCAUAUAAAGGUUUAAGGUACACUCUCUAUAGCUAGAUACCCAGUGUAUUCCCAGAUAGCAAAUCACGCCAUACGACAAUGUUGUUAAUCUACACUGAUGUAUCUUGGCCGCCGCUUAAAAGUCCUCGACUUACCAUGCCAAAAGUCACCUUAUUCCAGCCGAUAGAUCUCCAGUAACUAUAGAAAUCCUAAACAACCCUAAUCUGCUAACUUUCGAUACUUCUUUACACUAAUGGUCAAAUAUCCUCUAUUUAUUUCGUCAGAUUAAUACAACUUUUGCAUGCACUCGGCAUACUCAACUCUCUAGAUACCUCUAAAUUUCAACCGCAGAAGUUUUUCUAAUUUCACAAAACAGUCAAAAGUACUAGCCGUUAUUUUAUUGCAAAAAAAAUCCAAUUCACCAAUACAAACACUAACUUCCAACAACGAUUGCCAAAGUCCUCCCAAAUCCUAUGAACCCAAAUCUAUACCUUUCGAAGGAGCUUGAAGCUAGCUCUCCAAUCCCAAAAUCCUGAUCUCCGAAUGCCCCUUUCCUUAUCUUUUCCUCUUUUAAUUCUGUGUGGUCUCCUUUUUUUUCACCUUGGACUCGAAAUUAGAACAGCCAAUGGCGCUUCCCCGAAAUUCUUGUCUCUAAGAGGAUCUUUUCACAAAAGGACAUUUCUCCCAAAACAGCAUAGAGAACGAAACAGAUUGAAAUAGAUCCAAAGCCUCCAUAUUUGGGACCUCAUUGGAUUGUUCAACCAAGUCAGGUCUCAUACUGAGUAAGAGGCCCAUAGAAGGAUCUGGAUUGGAUGUCUCUAUAAUUGGGUCAAAUUGGCCCUUUACAUCAAAUUUAUCUGAAUAUUAAAUUAGUCCUUUUCUCUUUUACCGACUUCUGGUAAGAAUGGCUGUGACUCAUUCCACCUGAUUUAUCGGAGAAUCUUGAGGACCUUGAUUUAUCUCUUCAAUUUUUCCUUGGCUUUGGAUCUGCUGAUCUUGUUUAUUGAAAUUAGAUGCAACAUUACAUUGUUGAUAAGUAUGCCUCAUCUGCUUACAAUUCCUAUACACUAGCUUUGAAAUUGGAACAUUCAUUGAUAUAAUGACCAACAUGGUCUUCAACGAAAAUGACAAAGUGGUCUUCUUGUACCCCUAUCAUGCAUAUUGGGUGUCUCCCCUAGUAUAUACUGUAGAAUAGAUAUUAGUUCAUUUUUGUAAGAUAUUGAUAAAAAUAGAUUAAUAGUCUAUAGAAUAGUCAAUUCAGGAGGACGGAUGGUUGAUUUAAUUAUUAAAAGUGGUUAAUUAUAAGAUUACGGUUAGGAUCUGGAAAUCAGUUGCAAUUAUAUAGGAGUUGUAGAAGUUUGUUGGGGGGCUAGACUGUGAUAGUCAUGAGCCAGGAUUAAGCUUGGUGCUUCUUCUUUAUUUUUUUUGUUUUCUUUGUUAUUGAAGAAUAAUGGAUAGUUUCUAAAUAUUGAGAAGUGAGUCUGUAGAAUAAAUCAGAGAUUGAUUUAUGAAUUAUUGAUUAUGUAAUUGGAGUAUUAUGUGAUUGAAUUAUAUGAGAAGUUAUUGGAAGAUUGAUUAUGGAUAGAAGAUUAUGAUUGUUGUUUAUUGAGAGUUGUGUGUCUUUCGAUAGAGGAAGUCUAUGAUUACAGGAUUUCUAUGAAUUGAGAUUGCUUGGAGUGAAGUCUAUUAUUCUUGGUAUUGGAUGGAAUUUAUGAGUUUUAAGCAGUCUUUUAAGAGUGCAGGAUUGCACACUAUUGUUAUUAGUUGAUGAAGGAGUAUUGUUACUAAGAAGAAGCAUUGUAGUAUUUCUUAGUAUUUUAAUGAUUUAGAAUACAAUUAAUUGUGUGACCCUUACAAGUGAAACUCAUGUGCUUAGUCUUUCCCUGUGUUUGAAUUUUCCUAUACAUGUUUAUUAUAAAAGAAUUUAUAGAAUAAAUAAAACGAAAAUCACAUAUACCUACUAGGCUUAUUCCAUGUAGGGUUGGAAAAUGAUCCUGGUUGUCCUGUUGGUAUAGAGGGUACUUGGUUCGAUGAUGUUGGUGGGAUGACAUUAACUGACCCUGAAUAUUGGCACUGGAAUUGGCCACUAUUUCUAACAUCCAAGAUGAUUAAAUAUUAAUAAUAUCUUUUCCAUUUAUAUUUUCACCAUAUAGUCAUGUUACAACAUGACAACGAGCUUGACGACAAUUCAAGACAUGUGCUGACAUGAAAUACUUGAGGUUCUCAUGGUCUAUAUACUCGAUAACUCGAUUUGAGGUGCCUUCUAAAUAAUGACGCCAUUCUUGAAAUGAAUCCAUGAUUAUAAGGAGCUCUUUGUCAUAGAUCUCAUAAUUAAUCUCGGUUGUUGAAAAUUUCCUUGAAUGGAAAGCUAUUGAGUAGAGUUUGUGAUUUGUUCCCAUUUAUGACAAUGCGGCACCUAUAGUAAAAUCAGACGCAUCUGUUUUCAUAAAAAAAUAUCUUGAAAUCAAUGCAAUAUAAGAUUGGUGUAAAAAUAAACUUCUUCUUUAAAGCAUUAAAUGAUGCUUCUACUUCUUUAUUCCACUCAAGUUUGUCUUUACAAGUCAAAUGUAAAAAUAGAGCUACAGCUUGAGAAAAAUUCUUGAUGAAGAUUCAAUAGUAAUGAGCAAAGCCCAAAAAAUAUUGCACAUCUCAUACUAUUCUUGGAAUCUUCUAAUCUAUGAUAGUUUGAACCUUCUUGGAAUCCAUCAUAAGGCCUUUGUUAGAAAUGAUGUACUCUAAAAAAUCAUCUUGAGUAGUGUGGAAUACACACUUUUCUAACUUAGCAUAUAAUCCUACAUCUCUAAGUUUUUAUAACAUGCAAAAAAUAUGAAGCUCAUAUUCUUUGAUGUUCUUAUAAUAGAUUAGAAUAUUAUCUAAAUAGCAACCAAUAAAAUCAUCUAAAAACUCACAAAAAACAUCAUUCAUAAGAUAUUGAAAAGCAGCCGAUGCAUUUGUGAGUCCAAAAGGCAUGACAUUAUAUUCAAAAUAUCCAUACCUAGUUUGAAAAGCACUUUUCCAUUCAUCUACUUCUUUGAUACAAACUAAGUUAUAUGCUCCUCAUAGAUCUAUUUUGAUAUAGAUCUUUGCUUGAUUGAGUUGAUUAAAAAGUUCUGAAAUCAAAGGCAAAGGAUACCUAUUUUUCAUGGUGAUCUUGUUGAAUCCUUGAUAAUCCACACACAUUCAUAGAGAUCUAUCUUUCUUCUUCAAAAAUAAGAUAGGAGCCCUAGCUAGAGAUUUAGAAUGGCAUAUGAAGUUCUUUGCCAAAUUCUCAUCAAUACACUCUUUUAAUGCAGCCAACUUAUUCUGCAAUAAGCUAUAGAUUGGUUCGAAUGGUAGUUGAGCUCCUUCUUGCAAAUCAAUUGAACAAUCAUGAGGUCAAUGCUCGAAAAAAAUAUCUACAUUUUUUAAAAAAAAAACAUCUAGAAAUUCUUGAUAUUAGUUAGGAAUACCACUCGACAUUGUUUCACAAUUAGAAAUGGAUAUAGCAUAUAUAGCAAAAGAUGAUCCUUCUUUUGUAGCAUGCAUGAUUAUUUUUGCACCUACUAAUAAAGGUUUAGAUGUAUUGGACUUACAUACUUCUAUUUUACUAACGUGAUCUUAAAUUAUACUAUCAAAAAAGUUAAGGUUAUAAUAAAUCUAAUCUAUUUGAGGGUUAUAUUUUUCUAGCCAUGAUAAUCUUAAAAUAAUCGGAUUAGAGGGAGAUUUUAUUACAUUAAAUACUACUAUGCUAUUAUAAACUUUAAUUGCUAUAUCUAAAGGAAUAUUUUCAUGGGUAAUAUUUCCAAAAGACAACAAACGACCAUCUAUGACUUGUACAUGUACGGUGUUGUGUUGUAGUUUGGCUAUUAUAUGAAAAUAAUGUAAUUAUAUACUUAAUAUAUAAUUUACUAAGUAACAUAGUGAGAGCCAUGUUAGUAGAUUUUAGUUGGUUAUAGAAUAUAAUUUGAUUAUUACCUUGAGAAGAGGUUCAUUAAAAAGAUUACUAUAGAAUUUUUAUAACUUUAAUUUCUUUUUUGAUAGUGACUUUUAAGAUUGGUUUUGGUUGAUAGUAACUUCUAAAUAUUUAGAAUCACCUUUGUUAGACAUUGGUGACCUUUGAAAACUUCUUUUGGUUCUUUUAUUUGGUGUUUAGAGCAUAAAUUAUGUAAAUAUUAUAAGAAAAAAGAUUGAAGAAGGGUUUUGGGAGCAAAAGGAGUAAUUAAGGCACCAAUAUAGAUGAAUGGAGAUGGAUGAUUAAAAUCUACAUUCUUAUUGGUCAAAAAUCAUGACCAAUGGACUUUGAGGAGGCUGCUCGAGGCCAUAUUAGAUAUUAGGGUUAGUUUUUCAGUCCAUUUGAGCUUUGAGGGCUAAGGUCAGCAAGUUUAGGUUUUUGGCUAUGGUUUUGGUACAAGUUUUGUAUGCUUUGGACUUCAUAUGAAGGAGAUACAAGCACUCAAAGUUAAGGUGUUGAUUUGGGAGCUACUGUCUUUCUUUUUGGCAUAACGCAUGCAUAUGGUGUCAUAAUGUGUGAAGUCUUGCUUGAAAAUGCUCCGGACACCUGGCUGUAGAAGGAAGAAUAGAAAUUGCGAUAACAAAAUCCUAAAUAGAAUACUAACAAUGCUCUAAUUAGACUAUAAUAAUGGUAAACAAACGUAAUCAAAUUCAAAACAACUCAAAGAAAUUUCAAACAAACAAUAAAAUUCUUAAAGAAAUAUUAGAAUGAUCACAAAUUUUAUUCAAAUAUAUGUCAAUUCAACCUUAAUUUAAUUCUAGUUAAAACCCUAUUAAAUUUCACUCAAUUUUAGAUCAAACCUAAUUAAAUCUUAAACCCUAAUAAUUCCUAAAUCCUAAGUCAAAUCCUAAAAAAAUCUUAAAUUAAAUCCUAUUCCAAACCCUAAAUCAAACCCUAAAUCAAAUCCUAAUCCAAUCCUAAACCCUAAACCAAACCUUAAAUCAAAUCCUAACCAAACCCUAAUCCAAACCUUAAAUCAAACCCUAAUCAAAUCCUAAACCAUAAUCCAAAUCCUAAUCCAACCCUAAACUCUAAUCCAAACCCUAAAUCCUAAACCAAAUCUUAAAUCAAAUCCUAAUCAAAUCCUAAUCCAAACCCUAAUCCAAACCCUAACCAAAUCCUAAAUCCUAAUCUAAAUCCUAAUCCAACCCUAAACUCUAAUCCAAACCCUAAAUCCUAAACCAAAUCUUAAAUCAAAUCCUAACCAAACUCUAAUCCAAACCCUAAAUCAAACCCUAACCAAAUCCUAAAUCCUAAUCCAAACCCUAGCCAAACCCUAAUCCAAACCCUAAUCCAAAUCCUAAACCGAACCCUAGCCAAAUCCUAAUAAUUUCUAUGACAGAUUUAAACCUCAAUAUCUAAUG
rnacentral:lncRNA from 1 species